rnacentral:lncRNA from 1 species
UUUUUUUUUUCAAAGUGAUGUGAUUGUUUGUGAUGAUUGGUGAUCAAAUAAUGAAACUAUUUUUUUAAAUACUGCGAAUAUUAAGGAGAUAUGGAAGUAUAUUGUGUCAAACUUGAUCACAAAAUUAAAAAGUGUUAUGUCUUACAUUAUCACCCUAAAUUUGUUCCUAUUUUCAAAGUACUUAUGUACAAUCUUAUAUUGUGUUUAUAUGUUGUUUCAGAUAGUCAUUGAAGUUAUUUAAAAAUAUAAAAUUAUACUUUAUUUAAAUUUGUUUAAUUUAAAAAAAAAGUUUUUUAAAAUUGAUAUGAAAGUCAAAUUUAAGACACGUAAUUUAAUUUUUUUAAAUUAUCAUAAAGAGCACGACUGUGAUAUUUAAAAAAAAAAUUAAAAGUCGUAAUUAAAAGUUUUUAUUUCUUUUGAAAUCGUCAUUUUUGAGUAGAAGUCAUAAGUUGUGUCAUAAUUUAAGUACAUAUAUUUUUAUUUUUAAUAAAAGUAGUGACUCACAUGGUUUUCUUUUAUUGUUUUUUUUUACUUUUUAAUAGAAUAGUGGACUCGAUCGCGAUUUUUAUAUAAGCUUUUUUAAUUUUUUUUAAUGGAAAUCGUGUUAUGGACCACGAUUUUAGUAGAUAAGGUUUAAUGUGAUUUAUACAAACUUUUUAAAUAUUACCAAUGCGAAAUUGAGCUCCCUAUAAUGACUUCAGAAAAAAAAUUAAAUUAAUACAAGAUUUAUGUAAAAACAUAUACAUUUCAGAGUUAUGUUUCUAACCAGGAUUUACUUAUUUUAAUAAAAACUAAAUAAAUUACUAAAAAAUAUCUUAAUGUACUUGUAUGAAUAAUGAUGAGUAAAGAUUAUAUAUGUGAUUUGAUAUAGAAUUGCUGACGUGUCGGUGAUUUUCAAAUGUCCUUAAGUCUCAUUCCUUCCGUGCUGAUGCUUAGCCGACCGGGAUGUACUUGCGAUUGCACUUUGACGCUAAAGUUAGUGCUAUGUUUAAAGUGUGUUCUAGUGGAAUGUGAAAAACAUACCUUACUCUUUCUUUUGAGAGCUUUAUUUACAGUAUUGCUUUGUGGCUUUUGACCUUUAUGGGCUGGAGAUCCGUUGUUAAUCGAUAUGUAGCGAGUCCUUAAUAUCAGGGAAGUGCACAUUCAGUUUAAUCUGUUUUAUCUAUUAUAUUGGUAAUUGUCGUUUGUUGUCGUCAUUUUGUUGUUAUUUCAUUCGGGUGGUCAGUCAUCAAUUUGGAGACUGGUUUGUCCGCUACCGACCAGUACAUUUGCCCCUAGGCUCGAAGAGCUUUAUUUCUAAAGAGUCAAAAAAUAACUGAUGGAGUUCUCGAGGCGAGAUGUGACUGUUGGAAGCAUUUAAUGCUUGACAGAGACGUGACGUGUGCUUUUUACAAAAAAGUAGUCGUUGGGAGUUGCACAGUUAAAUCAAAUGAAUCUAACAGUUGCGAUUUCGUGUCGGUUCAUAUUGAGGCCUAGGAACACGAUCAUGAUCAUGAACCACCCGACACUAAGCAAUCUCAUGGCCUAUCAUCUUAGGGUGAGAGCAAAAAUGAGAGAGUAAUUCAUAUUCCACACAACUACAAAAGUAUAGUGUGGACGUUCAACCCAAAGGUGAUCGGGUCUCGUGGGCCAUCAUCACUUAAGCAGGACGAGUUAACCUUUUAAAUUUGUCAACUCGAUUUUGGUACUUUGUUGGGUUUGUUUAUGAAGGAGGUGGUAGGUAGGAUGAGGGAGGUUGGAGGAGGAAGGUGGGAAGGAGGAAGGAGAGGGUGUUUGUUGUGUUUGUUUUAGUGAUUUUGUGAGUGAAGGAAAAAGUGAUAGUCUUUUUUCAUUUCUCACACAAAUGGAGAGAUUUGUGUUGAUUUCACGUAGAAUUUUUAUAUUUAACCUAAAUACCUAUGUACAUAUAUUUUAUUAUAAUAUACAAUAUAAAAAAUUAAAUAUUACAUAAAUUUAUUUAAUAAUUUCAAAAUUAUUUAAUUAUACUAUUAAUAACAACAUACAAUUAUAAAUAAUGAAAAAUAAAAAUAAAAAUAAAACUAUAAUAUCAACAAAAUUAUAUAUUUAUAUAAAAUAAAAAAUGUAUAUAAUAAUAAAUAUUAUUUUCAUAAAUUUUAAUAUAUUUAAUAAUUUUAUUUCAAUUUAACACAAAAAUAUUUUUUAAUAUAUUUUUUAAUUAAAAAUACAGUUAAUUAUGCAUAUUAUAUAUUAAAAACAUUUAAUUAAUUUAAACCUACACAAAAAAAUAUUCAUAAUUCAAUAUUCAAAUAUUUUUUAAUAAUAAAGAUAAAUUUGUAAAAUUACAUUUUAAAUCUUUCAAAUAAUUUAUAAAUUUCCUUCCAACUAUCAUAUCACUCUAUUAUCUCAUUUAUACAAAUUUUAAUUAACCAUUUAUACAAAUUCAUUCUAUUAUCCCUUAAUCCAUUUUGAGUUUAAAGUCAUGACUUUAAAGUUUUAGUGUUUAUUUAUAAAGAAAUUGUGGAAGUCAUUUGUGUCAUAAUUUUUGCACAUAGGUAUUUUAUUUUUAAUUUUUUAACUGAAGUCGUGGUAGAUUUUUUAUUGUUAUUAAUUUUUAAAUAGAAGUAGUGGGUUGGAUCACGAUUUUAGCAAAUGUUUAAUAGAAAUAGUGUGUUGGACAACUAUUAUUUUAGUAAAUAGGGUACUUUUAUGUUUUGCUUACCAAUUAUUUUUGUUGAAGCCAGCGCAGCGCGGGAGAGGGAGUGGAGAACGAGGGAGUACGCCGCCGGGGUUGUGUGAGUCCGACCGCGACGACGCCGGUGAGAUUGAGCGUCGAAGCGUGAGUCCUAUUUGUUAUUCGUUUUCUUUAUGAUCUAUUUGGUUUUUUAAAAUUGAUUUUCACUUUUUCCAAUUUUCUCGCUCUAGAUCGAUCACUUGUUUCGCCACCACGACAGGCCCUGAUCCACUUGUUCCUACUCCUGCCUUCCCACCAUCCACCUCAACAUCAUCCAAAUCGCCACUAUAUAUAUAUAUAUAUACGCAUGUUAUGUUAUAGUAAUAUAUUUUUUUUUGUCUGUUCUUGAUUAAAGUAUAUAUCUUUAUUAAAUUGGAUCAACUGUGGAAUGGACGUACAAUACAAUAUACAUAGAUGAUAGAAGAAAUGUGAUUUCCUUAUAAUUUGAUACAAAAUGCCGCAGGUUCAUUUUUUGGCAUGUUAUGAAUAUUUGCAGCAAAGGAAAAUGGAAGUGUUAAUUUUAGGAUAGAUUGUCAAAUACUGAUUCAUGUUGCCCCUUGGAUUUGGAAUAGUAGGGCCAUUCAUAAGAGGUUUGUUUCUAACAUGAGAACAGAGGGAAUUUGGGUUACUUAUUUAUUACCUGAAAUUCUUGUUGGAAGUGAAACGACAAAUUUUAAAGGUUAUUGCAUAUAUGUCCUAUUUGUUUAAACAAGGUAAUAAAAAUUAAUUCUGUGAUACUUUUGAUCUUUUGUAUAUACAUUUUUUUAGAAGCUAUUUAUUUUAGCUUCUGGAAAAAAAACUCUGAAGCACUUUUUGAGUCUCCCUGAAAAAGUUCGUGCUCAUCAUGGUCAAGCCUUUUGUUUUUUGCUGCAACUUCUCGAGACAAAUUUUCUACCCAGGUUCGGUUCUGUUUCUGUUUGCUGUUGAUUGUUGGUUCCAUCCCUUUAUUUCAGCCAAGACAUGUCCCAAUCAAAACUAGUGCAACAUAGCACCUCAGUCUCAACUUUCUUUUGUUAAUGAUUGUAGUUAUGGCUUCAAUGAUCAUUGUUUGUAGAUAAUUAAAGUGUUAGGAUGACAAGCCUUUAUUCUUUUUGAGCAUUUAUUGGUUUAUAAAAAUACAAAUUUUUUUCAUUGUCUUUAGUAUAGCUUCCAUCCUGGAAUCUGCUAAGACAUCAUAGUUUUGUUGGGGUUGGCCAUUUCCAUGAUGCUAACCAGGAUUUUAAAAUAUUUAUUUAAAUUAAAAGAGUGAGUGAAGAAUUCUAGAGAAUAUAGAAAAAAUAUAUCCUAAACUUGGAUGAUGCACAACUCAACCCUAGUACCUUGCACAGGUGAAUGAAAUCAGUAAAAUCCAUAAAAUCGUGCUUCGGCCAAUAAAUCAUUUAUGAGAAAAGAAGUAGUCUCUUGCCACACAAAAAAGAGGCAAUAAUAAACACUAGCAAACAUUUAUUUUAUUAAUAGACAUGUGACAGAACUAGAAUUGCUUUAGCAUCUCCAGACACUAAGUUUUGCAGUAAGAAAGUAUAUCCUAACUCUGUUUUAUGUAUCUUUAAGCAAAACCAACACGUAUCAUAGAAUUUUCACCCCUCCUUCCAAUUAAUCAAUAUUCUAUAUAUCUUUAAUCACUAUAAACUGGUUCACGUAAAAUGGCGUGCAAGCAUCAUUAUGAAGGAUGAACUCGUCUAAAGUGGUGUAUUUGACGUCAGGAUAUAGCAUUGAAGCUUCGACUCCAAAUGAAGGCUUGAUUUCAUAGUUAGUGUGAUCUCCCUUCACAUAUGCAGAGUGGCAAAUUGACACACCGAUGUCGAUGGGGAAUGAAGAUUCUACAAGAACAAGAAAUUGCAAUUAUCAGCACAAACACAUAUUUAGAAGCCCUUUGCGCAAUAAUUUCAAGCUAACCAAAGAACAUGAUUUUUGUGAAGUGAAAGAAGCAAGUUCACCAUACGUUUCUUUCAACUAAUAGGACACAUGUCGAACAUGCACUAUAAUUCACUUGACACUAACCUUCAAUAAUCUUCAAAACUUUCUCUUCUGGUACAUAGACUCUCUUGAGAAUUUCACUGUGAUGCUUCUCCCAGAGAGAUACAAGGUCAUUGUAUGACAAGGUGUUACCAGGUGGUCGGACAUAGAGAAUUUUGUUCAAGGUUCUUGGAUCAUCAACACUUCUAAUGGUGUAAGUGGCAACAUCCUCUUCCGAAUUAAGAACAACUGUAGACGAAACAAAAGUUGAUACGAAGAUUUGUGAUAUAUAAACUCUUAAUCCAAAUGAAAAUCAGGGUGCAAAAAAGACAAAACAAACCAGACAAAAAAAAAAUCAAAUCGUGUGAAAAGGUGAAUCAGACUCUUCGUAUAACAACAUGAAGUUGCGCAAAAUCAAACUGAACUUAACCAAAUCGUAAUUUGUAUAAAAACAUAAACUGCUCAUGCAUGCAAAAAAGUGUGUUUACGUACAUUUAGUGUUUCCAUCUCCAAGAAUAACAACAGUAUCAAGUGGUGAUGUUAUGCCAAAAAGAUCUGACCCAGUGGGUAGGAAGUGUCCAGCGAAAAAGUUGGCCACCACAUAGGUAUAAGGAAUUCCUUCAGCCUCAAUGGUUCGACGAAUUUGAACUUUAGUGUCAAAUAGCUUGUGUCCUUCGUCUACAGCAUGAGUUCGAUCCACAUCAUUUCCAAACUCUGAAGGAAAGAACCUCUGCAAACAAAUAACUACAUCACAACAACUCCAACAUGUUUGUCACGAAGAAAUACAACCACAAUACUUUCUUCCAAUCAUAUGGUAACAUUGAACUCCAAUCACAAAGUUAUAAGCAUCAUCAUGGUUUGCAUGAAAGUGCAUAUUUUGGUGCAAACAUGGAGAAAAACAAGAACAGUAAAUUUGGAGGUACCUUAACAUUUCCGGCUUCCUUAAUAGCAGAAAUGAUCUUAUAUUGAACAUCUAACUGCGUGUGACUCACAAUAGAUAUUACCACAUCCACCUUCUUUAUCGCCUCAACCAAACUCUGAUGAUCACGUACAUCUCCCUGUGUAUACAUCAAACCCACAAUUAAACUAAGUACUUUGCAUAAAAAAAAUAGGAGAAAAAACCUGAUGCAAUAAUCUUGAACAAAAACAGAAGAAGAAAAUAGAUAAAGAUUGAGCAUGUAACAAAUUGUUACGUACCAAAAGGAGGUUGAUACCCAAGGUGUUGAAUGUUUGAAUGAUGGAUGAUUUUGAUGGAUCAGAAAGAGUGGACUCUCGCACCAGAGCAAAGGUGGGGUGACCAGCCUUAGCACUUGCUUCCACCAUGAACUUUCCCACAUACCCUGUUGCUCCAAUUAUCAGAAUCUUGCUAGUGCCCACCUUUUCCAUUGGAAAUAAACAAUGUUUCAACACACAAAGAUUAUGCAAGAUUAGAGAAGAAGGAAUAUAUAUCUUGCAACUUUAUUUGCUAUGAAGAAUGCGCAAAUGGAGUCAUUUAUAUAUACACUGUCUUGCUCCCUUACGUGUAUUGUUUCUGCAUUUAAAUAUACAAUAAUAUUUAUCUGCAAUUUGAUUGGAAAAAUGUUGUUUUGCCGACAUACUGAAAAAAUCACAACCUUUACCCAUAUCCUUAAUCAUUAAAAAUAUCUAAAUUUAGACAUUUAGACAUUUAAAGUCAGCCUUAUAACACCAACUAACACCAACUUACGUUAAAAUUUGUACUCACUUAUAUACUAUGAAAUAUUAUAAUAUCUAGUUGAUGUGAGACCUCUAACACAUCUUUCACGUCGAGAGUAAUAAUUCGUGCAUUGGUCAUUCGAUAACAGUUCGAUAACAAGUGGUUUGAUAAGUCCACUAAAUACUGAUUAUGAUAAAACUUUAUAAAGAAUUGAGAUAAAAUAAAGGAGAAAAAAAAAAGAAAAAAAAAUGAAAAAAAUAUGUUGUUUUAUCUCAAUUUUUUAUUUAUAAUAGAGAAUUAAGAUAUUAAUAUUAACUUUUUUCAUAAAACACUCUACUUGAUAUGGAAAUUACUUAUUUUUGAAAUAGUUAAGAUUAUUUUAAUAUUGAAUUUCAUACAGUUGCAUAUUAUUUAUUAUUUAUUUUAUUUUUAUGACAACAAAUUAAAUAGAAUGCUUAAAGAACACCACUUAAAUGCAUUUGUUACUUAUGAAUCAAUAUUCAUAUCCAUAUCAAAAUUAUGAUGAGAAAAAGUAGAAAAAUCUCAUUUUCUCAAUGUCCAGUCAAAAUAGUGUACGUUUUUAAAUAGUAAUUGAAGAUGUCCAUGUCUUUGCUAUGAAUCUUCAAUUGAAUUUAUUUUUGGUUGAAUUUUUGACAUUAGAGUAUGAACAAUGUUAAAAACUAGUGUUUUGAUUUAAGAUAUAUGUUAUUUUUUAAAACCCAUCAAAACAUCUUAUUAUUUUCUCUAAUAUCACUCAUUGUAUCUAUCUAUAUUUUUGUCAUUUUUUCACUGGAUGAUGAAUAAAAUUUGGAGUUCUAAAAAACACUUUGAUGUUAAAAAUCUUCUAAUUUGAACGUAAGAAAUGCAUGGCAUAUAAGUUUGAAUUGUGCUGUGUCUAGAAUCUAAAUGUUCUACGUCCCAAAAGAGUACUAGUCUUAAACUUUGUUUUUCAACAUUUUCAAAUGCAUGAUGCAUUAUGUGAAAAUGGGAGUCAAAUAAACCAUUUUUUAGUUCGUAAUUAAAAUAAUUAUGAUCAUUUGCAUAUAUAUAUAUAUAUAUAUAUAUGUAUAUAUAUAUUGGUUUCAUGAGUGUUUUUUUCUGCUAAUUUUUUUUACUUUAAAAAAAAUAAAAUAUUUUUACUUAGAAAAUAAUGGAGGAAUUAAAAUCACGUUUUAACAAAUUAUUUUUGCGAUUAAGCAAACUUAUGUUAAUAUCAACUUGGAAUUAAAUAGUGAGAUACUGAAUUUGUGCACCAUAAUUAAAUGAUAAAGUAUUGCAUUGAUUCUAUUAGUUUGUUGGAGGGUGUGAGACAAAAUCUAAUUAAUACUUAAAGGGAUUUUUCACUAAAUCAGUGUAAUUAUUUUUGGACAUUAUACUUUUGGGUAUAAAUUUAUUUUAUUAUGGAAAUGCGGAAGUUGUGCACCACUUGUACAAAAUUUGUAGGGAAAGACGUAUUUUAUGUAUACAAUUUUGCGUCAAAAAGUGUUUACGUGGAAGUGGUAUAUCAUUAAUUUGAUUAUUUGUAAAAAAAGAGUUGUAUAAUACUUUAACAACUUUAUUAAAUAAAAAGUUAAUAUUUUAAGUGAAGUCGUAUAUAAUUUAUACGAUUUUAGUUGUAUUAUUUUAUACAUAAAAUCGUGUAAGUUACGUAUAAUUUUACUUAGUAUUUUUUUAAUAAAAUUUUAUAUUAUUAAAACCAAAAAUCAGAAUUAAUUAAUUAUCAAAAGAGGAGUAUUCUUUAAAACCAGAAUUGAUUUUCCUUGAUAUCUAACAUAAUGAAUGAAAGUAUCCUUAAAAAAGAAUAAGGUAUAUGAACAAUUCUUUGUAGAUAUUUCUACAAGAUGUUUUCUUUUUUCAUAGAAAAAAUUUGCUCAAAAAAAAGGCGAAAAUGUUUUAACUGUAACUGAGAGAAUUUGUUAGGAUAAGAUAGGAAAGGUUGGGAGAGUUUUAUGAAAGUGAAACUUUAAGUUUUGUUUUGUUUUUAAAGUAUAUUAUUUGUGAAGUUUGUUAUUUUUUUAUUUAUAUUAUGAUUUGUAUUGUUUGAAAUGAAGAAACAAACAAGAUUAAAUCUAUUGAAAUAAUAAUAAAAUAAUAUAGGGAAAUAAAAUUUAUUCAAAGAAAUCUAUUGAAUAAGGCAAGGAGGAGGGAGAAGUGUUUUGGAGUUAUUCAUUGACUUGAAAAUAUUAUGGGAAGAACUUGAAUCUUUACGGUCAAUUCCUCAAUGCGUAUGUAAGAUGUAUAUGUAAUCUGAUGAAAAUUGUUGUUAAGUAUACAGAUUCAGAAUACAUGAUUUGUUUCUUAAAGAGUUUAAAUUAUUCUUAUGUUACUCUAAAGACUCAUAUUAUCCUUUUAAAUCAUUUACCUACUAUUAACAGACAUUUUUUUUAUUGUUUUGCAACAAGACAAUUGAACGGGAAUACGAUAAUUGAAAGCAAGUUCAAAGAGAUACUUGAUACUAGAGCUAAAAAAUAUGUGUUUCUGGAUUAUGAAGUUGGUACAAAAGGAUAUGUUCUAUUUGAUGCUAAAGCCAGAUUCUUGUUUCCAGAAAUAUAAUUUUUUUUAACAUAUCUUUCCUACAAGGUGGAUAAAUCUAAUAAGGAAAAUGAUCAACAAUGUGAUUUUUAUUUUUAUUUUCUUUUUGAACUUGUUACUUAUAAUAAUGAAGAAAUUGUUCAACUUAGUGAACAAAAAUUUAGAAAACCAAGAUAAUCUUAGACGAUCAACUAGAGAUCAUAAAGUCUCUGUUUUCUUGCAAGAUUAUCAUUAUCAAUUCAUUGAUACAAGAUAUAUUAAUAUCAAUAAUGCCACUCAUUCUAUAUCGUCUAAUAUUAGUUAUGAAAAAUGGUCUCUUAAACAACUGCAUUACACAUUAAAUAUAUCUAUCAAUAAUGAGCCAUGAAGCUACAAUGAAGUUAUCCAGUAUCCUGAAUGGCAAGAAGUAAUAAGGAAGGAGAUUGAAACUAUUAAGCAAAUAGGACCUAGUACAUGACUAAUCUUCCUCAUGGAAAGAAAAGUAAUGAAGAAGUGGGACUUUUUCUUGCCUUGGUCGCCAUUCAAGACGGACAUCUACAACAAUUGAAUGUCAAUAAUGUUUUUCAUCAUGGUGAGUUAGAAGAAGAUGCUUAUAUGUUACCUCCUUUAGGUAUAGAAGUUCCUAAACCAGGACAUGUAUGCAAACUAACUAAAUCUUUAUAUAGUUUAAAAUAGNNNNNNNNNNNNNNNNNNNNNNNNNNNNNNNNNNNNNNNNNNNNNNNNNNNNNNNNNNNNNNNNNNNNNNNNNNNNNNNNNNNNNNNNNNNNNNNNNNNNNNNNNNNNNNNNNNNNNNNNNNNNNNNNNNNNNNNNNNNNNNNNNNNNNNNNNNNNNNNNNNNNNNNNNNNNNNNNNNNNNNNNNNNNNNNNNNNNNAAGAUUUAGGAAAACUUAAGUAUUUUCUCGGAUUUGAAAAUGCUCGAUCUAGUAAAGAAAUACAUAUUUUGCAAAGAAAAUAUACCCUGGGUGUUCUUGUUGACACAUGUUUGCUUGCGGACUGCAAUCUUCUAGAUACAUAGCUCAAAAUCCAAGUUUUCAUGAAAGAACAAAGCACAUAGAAAUAGAUUGUCACGUUGUUCGAUAAAAAAGUAUAUACUAUGAAAUGUUUUUAUGUAAGAUUCUAACAAAAAUAUAAAAUAACAAUAACCAAAACAACCAACCAACUCUCAUUUCUUUAUUUUAUUUUAUUAAAAAAAUAAACUUUAAAUAGGUCAUAGAUAACCUAUACGAUUUUAAUUUAAAAUUAUACAACUGAAAUCGUGUAUGUCAUUUACGAUUUUACUUAAAAUCCUUUUUUUCUCAUUUAAUCAAACAUGUAAAAUAUUUUUUUUUGUUAUGAAUUGAUCGUAUUAAUGAUGUAGGACACUUUUCUAACACAAAGUCGUAUUCAUGGAUUGCAACAUUUAUACUCCACUAUAAAGUAUCAACGGCACACUACUUUUCAAUCCUUCUAAUAAAAUUUUUCUACAAAAAGCAUAAUAUAAAAAGAAAAAUACACUCCUCUUCGGUGCAAAAACCAUGAUAACUUGCGCCACAAUUACUCAACAAGAUCUAGAAAAACAACUUUGAUGUCUUCGUCACGCACGACACUUUAUAAUAUGUGUAUUUUGUCAAAAGAAGUUUUUGUCAAACUAAGUUGCUGGAGCAAAUAAUGUUCUAUUUAGAACCACAAUUAUUUUCUUGUACAUGAGUUAAUUAAGUUAUCAGUUCUAUUUUACAAAAUUUUAUUUUUACUCGAAAAUUUCAUAAAUUAAACAUAGGGACUCAUCCUUUAUUUAAUAAAUAUUAUUAAUUGAAAUUUUAAGUUUGAUCCGAAAAAUAUGUUUUCCAAUUUUAAUUUUAAUUUCAUAUUUGAUAAUGAUUUAUAUUAUAGAACGUGACUUUUACUGUUAAUAUAUUAUUAUUUUAAUCCUGAAAAAUGGACUUGUGUCCACUCAUCAUCAUCUGCGUCAAAUUUGACAUUCAGAUAUUUUAGGAGAUAUUUUCGGAGUUUAGUCAAAAAGAAAAACAAGUUAUUCACUUGUACUCAACUAGAACUUUGACAAAAAAUUUUAAUAAGUAUCCAGAACUUGUUUGUCGAUCUCACUAUAAUAAAUUUAUUAAAUAAUAAUUAAAGUUAGAAAUAAAAUUAACUAAACUAAAUAUUAUUUUAUAAAUUAAAAAAAAUAUUUAUAUUUAAAGUGAUUUUUUGUGAUUAAUAAAAAUUAAUAAAAUUAUUUUUAAAUUAAUAUUUAAAUUAAUUAUCAAAAUUUUAACUAUUAAUAUUUUAUAUUUUAAAUUAGUCUUUGAUUAAUAGAUAAAAAAGUCCAAACAAAAAACAAACGCAAAAAACUUGAUCAUUUAUAAAAUAUAUAUUUAUGAAGUGUAGAAGAAAAUUAUGGGGUGGAAAGAGAAACCCCGGUCACACUUCAACCUAUAAAAUUGAGCCCAGAGUUACUCAAGUUUUAAGAGGAUUUAUUUUUCCACUUGCACCCCUAUACCUUUUCCCAACACUUCAUACCUUUCUCCAACACCUCAUUCCUUUUUUUUAUCAGCAUUUUACAGUGUUCUUUAACGGUUUCUUCAGAUGUUUUUAUUCUCAAGUAACUUGAAAAAAUAUAUUUUUGAACAAAUCCUACCAAUCCCUAAUAAAAUAUUAACCACCAUUCUAUCCUAUGUUCUAUGGUAAUAUAACUAGAGAUGGUAAAUUGAGUGAAUAAUUUUAAUUCACCAGUUAAUGAAUUUUUAAAAAUAUUAAAAUAUAAAUAAAAAAUAAUUCAAAAUAUUAAUUUUAUAUAUUAUAUUAAAUAGUUAAAAUGAUAGAAAUAUAUAAUAUUAUUGUAACUUAGAUUAUUAAUAUUCAAUUUAGCCCAUUCUAUUUUCGCGUCAAGAGUGGGUUGGGCUAACAAGUUAAGAAUAAGUCGAACAGCCCAACCCAUUUUAUCACAUGUAAGUAUUCUAGAAUUUUUUUUCUUUUUGAACGAAAUUUUUUAUUAUGGAUUUUUCUUUCCAUAAUUGAAUUUUGAGUUUUUAAUUUUAUUUCGAAUUUUUUAUUUUUUAAAUAUAAUAAUCUCUUCCGAAUUCAUUUUUCUGAAAUGUAUUAUUUCCAAUUUUAGAUUUUCAUUUUCAGAAUAAAGAAUAUUUUCAUAAAUUUCAAAUUAUGUAGUGAGCAGGUCCAAGAAAAUUGGGUGUAGGAAGAAUUUGCCAUAAUAAAUCAUCUUGACCAUUAAAUCAUGUCAAAAUAGCUAAAACCUCCCCCAAAAAAAGUCCGCAACAUUUUAUUUCUUAAAAAUAAAGUAUUUAAUCUAUAUCUUUACACUUCAUCUCAAUCAAUCUUUAUAUUUGUACGAAAAGUUGACAAAAAAAUUCAGUAUUCAAUAAAAGACGAAAGAUAAUUUGAUAAAAGUAAAAAUUUUAUAAUCUGUAAAUACACCGAUCAUAUGAUAAAAUAUUGAAAUACUAUUCAUAUUUUUUUUAUAAUAAUUCAAGAAUAAAUCACAUUCUCUAUAUUCUUAUUAAAGUGGAAAUGGUAUCCAUUUUCCGCAUUAAAAUAUUAUAUUUUGUCCAACCAUUUCACUAGUGUGAGUAUUCUUUUAAGUAGAUUUAUUACUACUAAUAUUAUUACUAUUAGUAUUUUUAUUAAUAUUAUAUAUUAUUACUGUUUGGUUUAGUUUAGCAUAAAGAGAGGGUAAAAAAGCAGUGGCAGGUUGCCAUCAACCCUAAUGUAUAAUGGAUUAGGUAGCCAGUCACACAUGUGACAUUAAUAUGAUCUUAUUAUUUAUUCUACCAAGUAGUAUACAACAAAUAUAUGUUAUGUACUUAAAAAAAAUCUCCAUAAACCCUUUUGGAGAGAGCAAUUCCAACAAAUCAAAAUGGAUGAUCUGGUUUACAUCUCCAUCUUCGGAUUGCUACUUUCAACUGCACCUGCACAUGUAUAAAACCAUAUUUACAAUCAAUCAUGAAUCUCAAAAAAACAAUUAACUUCACCAAACAUAAUUCACUUGCAAUCUCAUAACUAAAUUUUUUUUUGUCUUGUAUCAAAACAACUUGUUAUAUACAUGGCAAUUAGCAUUGAUCUUUUUAAUGUUAUUGAGCAAGCUGCAAACACCUUUGCCACCACUUUUUAGGUAUAUGAAAGUGGUGGGAAAGUGAUGUAAGAAGCAAAUAAAAGUGACAACUGGCUUGAUGGCUAAAUGAUUAAAAAAAAUCAUUUUAAUUAAAAAAACUUAUCAAUAUUUUUUAUUAAAGAUUUUAUAUAACUAAAAAUUAAAAUAUUUCAUAAUAUAUAAAUAGAUACAAGUCAUAAAUUUGUAGGUACCUGUAAAUGGUUGAGAAGGAAAGGAUGUUGCUCGCCCUUGAUCAAAAGCAACAUUGUAAAGGCUUUGAAAAUCACCUUCCCAAUUUGAAGAGGGUAGAAUUUGCUGCAGUGCACGUAGUUAUUAGACAUUAGAAGAGUAAUGAUUAGAACAAGAAGAACAUUACAAAUUGCAUACACAAAAGGGAAACAUACGGUGAAACAGGAGGAGUCAAGAAACGCUUCGGACAAAGGUACAUGUGUAGUACUAAUGUUCCUUCGAAGUCCCAUAUUGGGAGGGCUUAUCCCCACGUUAUUUAUUAAUCCACCACAACAUGAUCCAUGUGGUUGUGUUGGAUUCAACUGAAGAUACGAAGGGUUGUUGCACAUUCUCAUAUCUGAUGCCAUCCCAAUGUUGGGUAAACCUUGAGAUAAAGAAGGAAACACCUGUGGCAAUCAAACAUAAACAGUUAUGUCAUCAACAUAAUUUCUUAUGCAAGUUCUAAAUUCUUAUGUUUUUAACAUAAUCCUAGGUUUUAAAAUAAAGUCUCCCACACCAUUAGUAUCUGUAGUGUUUUGUGAUUAUUUGUAAUUUUGAGUAUAUCAAAACAUGUCAAGAAGCUGUGUGUUGAAUCCAACUGAUAGAAAAGGAGAAAAAUGUUGAGUUAUAUACCUCUCUGGCAAAUAGUUCGUCAAUGCUUGGAUUUACAGCCGCUAAUUUCAUUGACAAGAACUGCAUGGAGUUAUAAACAUUGUCAAAUAAGUCACGCGCUAUAAAAUUCAACACAUUCCACUAUCAGUUAAUGGUUGGAUUGUAUAAAAAAAAAAUCUUUUGUUUUUUAAAUAUGGAUCAAAUUCAAAUCGACUUACUUAAUAUCAAUAAUAUUUAAAGGGUUGAAAUGAUUCAUUUAUUUGUUCGUCAACAUAUUUUAAUUUUAAUUUUUACUUAAUAUUUUUUACAAUAACAAUGUUUGAUAAAAUAGCUGAACAUUUUACUGCUAAAUUUAAAUCUCAUACUAAGAUAGAUUAUUAUGAAACGUGUAGAGCCUAAUUAAUUUCACAGGGACCAAUGUCAAAGGUUGGACCAACAAACUCUAACCUCAACUUGUCGUUGAAGAGACUGAACAUAGUUAAUGAUUUCAUCAAGCAUUCCAGCUUUGCCGGCAAUUUUGUUGCAACCCGGAACCAAAUCUUGCAAAUACUUCAUUCUCUCACUAAUUUUCUCCCUUCUAACCUGCACCAAACAGAACAAAACUCUCAGCAUUAAACAAACACAACUAGAAUCAAAACGCAUCGUUUAAUAUGCUAGUUUUUUUUUCACUCACUCUUUCAGCUAAGCUAUGACUAUCAGUGGCUUGACCACGACGCGCUCGGACAUGAAUGUACUCGCGCUUCUGGUUCUGAACCUCGGACGCUUUCGAAUCAUCCUUGGAAGAAUCCGCAGAGGUUUCUCUGUUGUUCUUAACUGCGUUGGAUUUGCCAUUUCUGUUGCUGCUCUGGUGCGUCACUCUGGAUUCUCCUUCCUCGCCACUCACUUUCACUCUCUUGUCCUUGUUAUCACUCUCCGCAGCAAUCUAAACAAAAUCAGAAAAAAAAAAAAAACGAAACGUCACGAUUGCCUUACCAUAGUCCACACCACACCGAAUCAUAACCUCUAUCAGCAUUCGCAAGUACCUUGAAGUUCUGCGCCUUCCUCUUCUUGUUGCUUUCCUUGGGUAAAAUAACGGAAGAAGAUCCGAAUCCAGAGUCGAGUUCGGGGCAGAGAGCCGGGUCGGGUUUGAGAGAAUGAGCCAAGACCUGAGCAAGCGCGGAAUCGUCACGCGCCAUGAGCGAGCCCUGACUCUGAGGAAGAUUGUUGGGAGAAGAAGAGAAAACGAGGUUAACGUGAAACUCCGUUGCGGAAAAGUAAGGGUGGUGAUUGUCGUGAUGGUGGUGUUGCCACUUGAUGGUUGCUUCCCUUUGUCUUUCCAAAACUGUCAUGUCCGAACAACUGGCUCCUAGAUUCCCCGAACCGUUCAGACAAUGCAACAUGUUGAGGUUGUUAUGGUUAUUCGUUAUUCCUAAGGAUUAGGCACCGCUACGUUGCCGAAAGUACGCGCCACGCGGUGUGUGUGGAAAACAAAAAGAAAAAACCACGUAGGGUCACGGGGAAGUUGAGAACACAGUGUGGGAGAAACACUGGAACACUGUUAAGGAUGUGCAGAGAUAGAGUGGGUAAGAUAUAAAGGGAGGGAAAUUCAUUUCUUUUUUUAUUUCCUUUUUUUAAUUAUUAGUAUAAUUAAUAAAAGGAAAUAAAAAAAUAUGGCCGGAAUAAUUAAGAUAGAGAGAGUGGGACAUAAGGUGUAUUGAUGUAACCAUAACCGAGGCUGUGCCUUGGGGCCCACUGAUAUGACCGCCACGUGGGCGUGUCCAACUCUUCCAAACGGCAGUGUUUCGCACUGGCACCUUAAAACAAAGCUGCGAUUAAUUUGUUUAAUGGAAUUAAGACUCUAACUCAAUCCAGUUUUGGUUAAACCUAGUUUAUGAAUUUUAAUUAUAGUCUUUCCAAAAAAAGUUGGAUUUUAUUUUUAUAAAAAAUGUAAACAAACAAUAAGCCUGUGUUUGUAUGGAGAAAAAGCUUAUGUAAUGAGAUAAAAAGGGAUGAAUUUGGUGUGUCUUAUGUGUAAAUUACCCUUUUUUUUAAUAUAGAAAACCUAUUAUGAAUAGUGUUUGAGUAACUAGAAACAAGUUAAAAGUGCUUACAUAAUUAAUUAUAUAGUCAAAUAUGAUGCAUAGUGGAUUAUCACCGUAUCAUAAUGAAUUAUGCAACCACACAUGUCCGAUCAAAUAAUCAUUACUGUAUAGUUUUUCUUAAUCAAGCACAUGAUUCAAGUUUUUCAUUCACUCUGCUUUACUCCAACUAAAAAAUCUUUCCAUUUUGUUUUACUUAUUUGUUUUCACUCUCUUUUAGUUUUUUUCCUGCUAAGUGAGAAGAGUGGAGGAAGUUUUGCAGCAUCAGCUUAAGAUUCUCUUCUAAAAAGGAUCAAAGUCUUCUCCUCGUCCUCUUCUAGAUGUAGCAAUCCCUUUCUUCUUUCAACUAAUCAACUUUGUAAUUAACACAAUUAUACAAUUUCUUUCUAAUCUCUUAUUCCUCAAACAAAAAAGUACUUGCAGUGUUUGUAUAUAUUGUCAAAGAAUGUAUUGAUAUGCCCACAGUCCACCAAUCAAUAUAUUUCAUUUGCAUCUCGCCUCAAACAUACAAUUAAAAUGAAUAAACACAAUUAUGUGUUUUCAUCUUAGUUAAAUUGGAUAAGAAUGCACCUAGAAUAAAAAAUUUGCAACAGAUGGGAAAGUUCCAGCAUAUACCGAUGUUGAAUUAUGGAUACAGGUCUAUUCCAACCGGUUACUUAUGUUUGAUAAAGAAAACAUAUAUAAUCUAAAAAUAUUUGAGGUUCCACUUUAAGGAAAGGGAUUGAUGGGUGAAGAAGAAUAGUGUGUCUGCAUAAUUGACCUCAUAAUUAGCUGCUAAACAUGGGAGAUUUUUUUGUUUUAGUGAGCUGUGAUGGGUGUUUAGUUAUUGUAAUGAGACAAAUUAAGCAGGAGAUGACGGAUUGUGGUAUAAUGUUAAUGAUAGGUGAAUUGUUGGUAAAAGAUAUGAAGUAUGAUGAGGAGAAGGGUUAGCAAGAGUGUGAUUUGGAAGCAGGAAAUGAUGGUUUGGUUGGAAAUUUAUGGUGCGAUUUGAAGCUUGAAGCAAUAGCGGAAGGUAAAGGUGAGGAAAUAUAAUUUGAGAUUGGUAGGAACAAGUCCAGAGAGGAUGAAGGCAACUUCCAUUAUCACCAAAUGGGGCCUCUCUUCAAAUCUCUCUAACUUUAUUUUUGGUUCAUGUCUCUUUCAACUCUAUCUUCCACCCUCUUCACUCUCUCUCUCUCUAGGUCCCCUCUUCCUAUGUAGCAGUUGGAUACAUACACUUCAAAAUUACCCAAUACCACAGCUAAAGGCAAAUGGGUCCUCCUUUCUCAAUCUCAUUUCCUCUAUCAUAUCACUUUUUUUGUGGUACACAUCAACACAAAACUCUGUCCCCUCUUCUCUUUGUUUUUCUAGUCACUCUUGCUUUUUAGUUCCUCAACUGCUUUCCAUCCUAUAUUCUCUUUGACUAACUCUCCCCAUACACUGCAUUUAUCAUCAACCAUCUUCUACCUUACACUAUCUAUAAACAAUACCCUCUACUCUUGUUAUUGUUAACUAACUCAGAUAGUAACAGAUUAUUGGUUUUACUCAUAACUCUGAUACUAAUUUGUGAAUAGAGAAUCUAUUUUAUUUCACUGUUCCUUCUACCAUCCUUUAAAUAGUCUUACAAUAAACAGAUAUUAUGACAAGCACAUAGUUUAAACUGUUUUUGUUUUGUCACAGUUCAUUGGAAUUCUGUGUCACCAACUGUGUUGUGCAAAUGAUGAAAAUAUCACUGCCUUAACUUGUGUUUCAUGCAACAAAGUAAUAAUACCAGGAAAGAUCGAGGAGCAUUCAGUUGCUUUUGUACUCAUUUCUUUUUCUGCUGUGAAUCUAUAAAUAUCACUAUAUUUUGACUAAUUUAGCAUUCAUAAAAUGUCCCUGCUGGCACCUGCUACUAAAUUGGAAAAAUAAUUGGAAAGGGUUCUUAUCUUAUCCAACUGAUAUGUGUUGAAGAUAAUAAUUGGGGAAGGGAGAUGGCAUAUGAGGAAGCAUUCAAAGAGAGCAGCAGAUCCGAUGUAUAGGGAAUCAUAGUUCUUUCUCCUGGUCCCUCCUCCUUAUUAAUUUAUUUUAUUAUUAUGGUGUCAUAAUUUGGAUCUGAAUGAACUUCUAAAGCUCUACAUUUCAGAUUGAGAAGAUCUGUAAUGUCAUAAGUAGGAUUUGAUACAAUUGGAUAUGAUGUUAAUAUGAUAAGAGUCUUUCUAUAAUCUUAAAUAAAUUAAGUAUUCUUUCGAUCCUAUGAAUAUAUACGAUAGUAUCACAUUAUUUAAAAGUCGAGAUAGUAUCACAUUAUUUAAAAGUCGAGAUCAAUAGUAGUUUAUAUACUAUCACUACAAGAAAAUCAUGAAAUAGAAAUCAAUUUUUAGAAACCAAAAUAAUUAGUUGCAAUAGUAACUAAAUUAGAGACCAUUUUAGAAACUAAAAAGAAUUUUGGUUUCUAAAUUAGUUUCUAUUAUUGUUAAAUAGUUUCUAAAUUAGUACCUACUUAACAACCAAGGUUUUAGAGACCAAAUUUAGAAACUAAAUAAUUGGUAGUUAAAACCUUGGUCGCUAAUUAGAUAUCAAUUUAGAAACUAUUUAACAAUAAUAGAAACUAAUUUAAAAACCAAUUUUUUUUUAGUUUCUAAAAUGGUUUUCAAUUUAGUUACUAUUGCAACUAAUUAUUUUGGUAUCUAAAAAUUGGUUUCUAUUUCAUUAUUUUCUUGUACUGUAUUUCUUACUCCAAUCCUAUCAAUUAACACUUUUUAAGAAUAAAUUAUAAUGGAGUACUCACUUUUAAAAUCGAUAAUACCUUAAAUGUGAUGAUUGAUUUUUUAUCAUAAAAAAAAAUUAUGAAUUAACAAAAAAUAUAACAUAAACUUGAUUAUAAAUCCUGUAUUUUUGGCUUUAUAAUAAUUAUUAAUCUUAUUUAAUACAUUUUUUCAAUAUGUUUUUUAUUUAUAUUUUCAGAAAGUAUUACUAAAAAUAUAGUAUAAGAUUACUCUUGAAUAUAAAUAUAGGCCAAAAAGUAAGAGAGAGGUUGGGUUUUUGAGAGUAUGUAUGUUGCUAUGCAUUGAUCCAUUUUACAAUCUUAAAAUGAUGAUCUUACAGAUGGAUGCUAUGGGCUUCCUUCUCUUAUUUAAUGCUCAACUCCUUUGCCAAACAAUCCCUCUCUACUCAUUCAACUAGACUUGGUCUUGCUUUUUAUCAUCAUAUCUAAAAAUGAUACCAACCAUAUAAUUCUAUAUUUUUAAAAGGAAAGUUAUAUAUGGGUGUAAUAUUUUCUAGUUAUUAUCAUGUUCAUUGAUUUAGUUUAUUUAAUCCAGAAUACAAUACAAAUAAUCAAUUCUACAAGUUAAAUAAUUAUGAGUAAAUAAAUUAUUAAAUAUAUAACAUGCAAUAAAUUUAUGGACAAAAUGAAGUAAAAAGAAUAAUGUACCUUCCAAGAUUAGGGAGUUGUUGCCUCCGCUUUAUUGAGUUAAUUUCUUUCACAAUAUAAUACAAAAUUUUACUCCAAGAGUUAAAUAAAUUGAAAACUUUUCACAUAAACAAAAUAAAUGCAAAAUUCUACUAGUUAAAGUUUUUUAGUAAAUACUUUAUAAAUUAAUUCAAGUAAGAAUUAUAUAGAUAAGAUGAAGAAGAAAAAAAGAUAAAGUAUUUUUAAAGAUUUAAUGGUUAUUGUCACAUUCCUUUAUUUACUUUAUUUCUUCUUCAUGAGAAUGAGAAAGAAUGUUCAAGAAGUUAAAUAAAUUGAAGAUUCUUUCAAGUAACAAAAUAAAUAAAUAAAAAUUUUAGGUUAAAGAAUUAUGAGUAAAAAAAUUAUUUCAAGUAACAAAUUUAUAAAAAAGAAUAAUGUUAGUGUCUUACUCCAUGAAACAAAAGAAUGCUCCAAAAGUACACUAAAUUGUGUUUUUUUUAACAACAUAACAGAAUUAUUAACAAUAAAUACUGAUGAGAAUUUUUUCAAAGCAACAGAAUUAUAUGAAAAAAAAAACAAAAACUCUAAACGUUACAAAUUUAUGAAAAGAUAAUUUAUAAACUAAUUCAAGUAAAAUUUUUAUAGAAAUAAAAUAGAAAAAUAUAUCACACCUUUAAUGAAUUUAAAUCUAUUGCGACUUAUCUCGUGUUAGUUCAUUUGUUCCAUGAUACUAUGCACACAAAAAUAUUUAAAGUAACAAACAAAAUUUGAAAAGAAAUACAAAAUUGUGUGAAAUAUAAAAUCGUUAGUAAAUAAAUUAUAAAUCAUUCAAUUAAUAAAUAUAAAUUUUUUUAUAAAAGAUAACAUACCUUAAAGAUUUCCUAACUAAUACCCUUUUUCUUAAGUUAGUGAUUUGCUGCACAACAAUGUACUCUAAAAAAUAAAUAAAUAAAAAGUAUUUUCGAAAGUAACAAACCUUAAACAAAUACAAAAUCUACAAGUUACAUAAUUAUGAGUAAAUAAGUUAUAAAUUAUUUUAAGUAAUUCAUUUGUAAAUAAAAUUAACAAAUUUUCAAGAAACAAAUUUAUUAAAUUUAGGUCUCAUUGACUGACCUAGAUUAAAAUUAGUUAAAUAUCAAAAUAAUGUUUGAAUGAAGAAUAGUCUUGUUAAUAUAAUAUGGUAUAAUUAUCUCAAAUAUAUAAUGAAGAGUUUAUAUAUAUAUAUAUAUAUAUAUAUAUAUAUUAAUGGUAUUAUUGACAUAUCUCAAAUAUAUAAUAAAAAAAAUUGAUAUUUUAAUAUUUGGAUAAUUAUUUUAAAAUUCUGAGGCGUGUUUGCUUGGAACCAUUAUAUUCUAUUAUAUUCUCCAUCUUUUUCCUUUGGACUCAUUACACAUGGAAUAUAUAAAAAAUAAACAAUGUCCAACAAUUCAAAAACCAUAGCAUAGUUGCUGCCAACUGUGAGUAAAUUUUAUCAUUAUAAACCUUACCACUUUUGCAUUUCAUAAUCCCAUAAUGAUUAAUACAAAUGUGAAAAACUAUGUUGCAUGCAUCAUUUAAUAAUGUGAUUAUGAUCCUUAAACUUGUCCAAUGAAGAAGCAAGAGUAAUAUCAACAUCUCACACAAAAGGACAAUGGACUUUCAUGUGACUUUUUCACUAUUGAAAAUUGGAAUUUUGAUGUCAAGUUGUUUUAUAGCACAGCACAUUUCAUUGGCCAAGGCUUGUAAACACCAAGAAAAUAUCAUAUGUCUUCAACCAUGUUAGCUUAUACAUAAUACUUUUCAUUAUUAAGCCUCUAAAAACAACCUUGUAACUAAUUUAGAAUCUAAAUAAUUGAUAGCAAAAAUUUUGAUAAUUAAUUAGAUACUAAUUUAAAAAUCAUUUAACGAUAAUAUAAACUAAUUUAGAAACAAAAAUUUUUUUAAUUUCUAAAAUGGUCUCUAAUUUAGUCAUAACUAAUUAUUUUUUUAUCUCUAAAUCUGGUUUCUAUUUUCUUGUAGUGAGCAUCCCAAAAACUAUGAAAGAACACAAUGAUAGUUUGAUAUUUGAACUAUCUAAGAAGAUGCAUACGAGGGUGUAUAAAGAAAUGGCCCAGAUGAAGUUAAGGUGAAAGCCCAUUUUUAUAGGUUUGGAAAUUGUGUCUGGCCCACUAAAACAAGAACAAGCUACAACAAAGAUCCUUUCCAUGAAUGAGUAAGUGUACUUCCACACAGGAAACAAAACAUUGAAUCCAUGAAACUCUGUCUUCCAUUAUUGUUCUAUUAAAAUUGACUUUUUGAUAAUACUCUUCCAAGAUCCACCAGUUCAAGACAACACAGGGUAAUAUUCUUUGAAUCCCAUGUCAUUGAAAUUCAGUUUUUCAACUCUUCAUUCAACAUUUUCUCUCUCAAUAUCUUAAAGAAAAGUGAUGUUUAAGACAUUAAAUUAACACUGAUUAAGAUUUGUAUUGAGGUUUGUAGGUAGCAUAUGUUGAUUCUAACAUUAAAAAAAGGAAAAGAAUGUUAGGUUUGUAGUGUAGAAGCAGUCUCUGCCCCUUGCAUUGAAGUGUCAACACCUAUGGUUGCACCCAGAUCAAGUGGCAUGACUGAACUUUCAUGUCUCAACCCUCGCAUCUUGUGGAAAAGCACCAUAUCUCGAGGAAUCAAUAAUACAUUAUCAAACCUUCACACCUUUUUAUAGCUUUUUAUUUCAGACUCACCUUCUUCCUCUUUUUGCAUGCUACAUUACCCAACUUUUGCAUACAAAAACAAUUUUAACCUAUGAGGCAAGAGCUAUGUGAACUAAUAUCAUUCUAAUUGGUUGGUUCCCAAAUUUGAAACCUUUAUCUACUUAUCACCAUUUCGCCCUCAAGGUAUAAAGAACACCGUCUCUGCUUUGCAAUUGCUCUAUCUCUUUAAGAUUCUCUGAAAUUAUGAAGAGAUUUGAGGGACCAGUGUGAGUGGUAGAUUACCAAGUUCCUCUUGUGCCAUUAAAUACCCCCAUUGUCUUGGACCUUGGUUUUGGUGAGCAAAGUCAUCAUUCACUUAACUUAACCUAUACCUCUUAUAUUGACAACUUGUUCCAGUAUACAAUUUGUGAUUCAUGAUAUAAAGAAAGGAUAUUUUCGUCACUUUAUAUAAAAAAUUUAAAUUUUAGAAAAAAAAAUAGAGUUGUAAACUGGUACAAGUUGUCCAUAUAUCACUUCUUUAACUUAUAUAUUUUAAAAGAAAAUGUUAUUUUUACAAUUACAGAGUAAUCAACUUUUCAAAAUUUAUUUAUUUAUUCACAUGUUUUCACAUUUUACGAGAAAAAUUAUAAAUAAAAUAUAUUGAUAGCUCACAUUUUUUAUACGUUACAAUCUCAAUAUUAUUAUUUUAAUAUUUUUUAUAUUAUUUAAUUAUAAAUUUACUCUUUAUUAUAUAUAUUUAUAUCUAAAUUUAUCAGAGUUGAUUUAAAAUAUCAUUUGUCAUAAAUUAAUUCUAGUACUAAUUUUACUAGAUAUAAUAUAUAAUAAUUUAUUAUUGAAUUGUCAAUAUAUCAGUGCUCUUCUAUAAAUUAGAGUUUCGCAGAACAAUUUAUUGUUGAGUUAUCAACCUAUCAUGACUUUUCUACUAAUUUUGCAGAGGACCACUCAAUUAGUAUAUACUUCCAUUAAAGGGAAUAACUAAUGGUUCAUGGUUCAUGCAUAUAACUUUUCCGAGGUUUAUGUCACAAAAAGUGCUUUCUGGGUGGCUAUGACUAGAGGAUUUAGAGAACACCAAAACAAAGAAAAGGUUAGUGAAUUAGCCUUUUUGACUCCUUCAUAAGAAAAGAUUAUGGCUGCUAUCUUUGGAUAAAAGCUGGAACUUUUUUGUUGUCAAUGUUAAUUUACAAAUUCUAAUGCACCAAAGGAAAAAAAAAACUAUCUUAACAGUUAAAAAGUGCUUAUGAGUUCCUUUAAGUGAAAUCUGAACAUGCCCUGAAUUAACAAACUCUGUAAACUUGUGUUUAGAUGAGUUUUAAAAAGGAAGAAGCUGUAACAAGCAUGCAUGUUGAGAACAAAAUAGACCAAGCCAAAAAUACUUGAAGGCAAAAACACAGAGCUGAUGAGUGAGCUCCAUGUGUUAUGAAAGCUACUAUACAUGACUUAGUCCAUUGAAUUUGAAUGCAUCAUAAUCUAUUGCCAUGCAUGCUUGCUUAAUAACUUUAACUUUUAAUUGUAUAUAAUAUAUUAAAAUUAAAAUACGUCCCACCUCUGUACAAUAUUCUUCUGAGCAUUUUUUGUUUGAGAACAUUCAUUGUGUUUUUGUUAUCUCUUGCUUUUGCUACUGUUUUUCCUUGCCAUUUUAAAAUACAUAACUUUCUCUGACUUCAUAUUUCAAAGAAGCAAUCUUUUAUUGAUUUAAAAAAUGGGAAUUCAAUUGAUUUUUAUCAUCCAAGUAAAAUUAAAAAAUGAAAUUACUUUCUUAUUAGAAAAAAAAUCACAACUAUUCUGCACAGUCUAGUUUAAUACUAGAUGUUGUGUUAUAUCAUGAAACCGGAAGUUCGAAUUUUCGGUCACCCAACUCUUAUAUAAAACAAGAUUAGAUAUACAUUGAAUUUGUCUUAAUCAUUCUCAUAUGAUAAGACUCAAUAGAACAAUAUACAUAAGGUCCACCUCACAUCCUAAGUUAAGAGCAUUAUUCUCAAUUAGGAAUUAUAAAGCAAGAUUAAACGGACAUUGAGAUUGUCUUAAUCAUUGUGACAGUAUAAGGUCCACUAGAACAAUAUAAAUAAGAGAGAAUCUUACAGGGAAAAGAUAAUGUUAUUUUGAAUUCUGAACUAGACUAUCAAAAUUGACAUCUUCUAACUUGAACGUCUGAAUAUUUUUACAGGUAACCAUCCACUCGGACAUCCAAGGAAAGUAGACAGAAUUGAAGAGAAGACAGGAACCAUUCGAUAGGAAUACUCAAUCUUGGAUAAAUUAUAAGAACACUGUGUAGAUGAAUUUGUGUCCUGAAGCAACCCAGAAAGUUAAACAGGUAGCAGAGACAUGCAUGAAUAUAACCUUUCAUAUUACUACAUUGAGUACAUGAUUAAUGUGGAGGUUAUGCGUUUUGCAGAAUGUGGUUUAGUUUAUGAAGAAAAAUUGAAGAAAAAGAAAGUGGAAGAGGGUAGAGAUAGGUAGGAGCUUAUCCUUGUGUAUGGAGUGAUGAAAACGGUACUUCACUGUUCCACCAAUCAGACGAAACACGAUCCUUCAAAUGCCCAACCAGAGAAAAGAUAUAUGAAAACAGUAGGACCUGUUUGAAAUGCUACAAAAACAUGCAGAAAAAAACAAUGUGGUAUGGUGAUAUCGUCGUACGGGUUCCAGGUAGGCAACUACAACCUUUUGGAAUGUUGCUCUGAGCAAAGGUUGGGAAAACCCAACUCUGAAUACCUCACAAACUGAAUACAAUAAAAUAUUUUUUGGUGAGACACAGAAAAUUUAACUCUUUCUCCCUCUUGCCAGAUUCUUCUCAGUCUUACAGAUUACGUCAGUGAUAAGUGAUGACCACUACUUUUUUAGAUACCUGUGAACACUUAUCUCUAACGCCAAAAAUUUGAGUCUAACUUGGAUGGAAUACCAAAAACCCCAUCAAGAAAAGAGCCUCAUCAUCCAAUAGACUUUCUUCAUGCACACUACUGACAUGAAUUACCAAGUUCAAAUUAAACUAUUGCUGCAACCUUGUCUUACUUCAUGUCAUGCAUUUGGGAGGGUGAGCAACUCAUAGUUGAGUGUUAAGCUAAGAUAAACUAUGUCAUUUCCAACAUUUUAAGGUUGUGUUUGAUGUCACUGUGUGUGUGCCUUCAAAACAUAAAUCACUUCCCCUAAAAUCAAUUUCACUGAUGUUUAGGGUUUAAAUUUAUGAUUGAGAUCAAGGUGGUGAUUUUGCAAAUACCAAAACAUUUGUUAUUGUUGGUCAUCUUCAUGUAGACUAAACCCAAUAGAAAAGUCAAAAUUUUCCAUUAAGUUUAACCACCCAACAUUUUAUGUUUCAAAUGUUGUUUUUCUGUCAAGGCAAUUAUUAUAUUUUGCAGGAUGAACCCCAAAAGAAGUUACUUUUGUAGACCUAUUAAAAAUACUAAAAUUUACUCAAUACUUAAUAGGGAAUAUGUUGGUAAACAAAAAAACUAAAUUAUACAUUUUCCUCAUACCCAUAAAUAGUUUCUUUUGAUUCAAAAACAAUAAAUGAUUACAAGAAUCUUAUCAAUAAUAAACUUCUCAAAUUCUACCAAAUUUCCAAAAUAUUCAACCCACUUAACCUAAUUUGGGAACUUGGAACUUUUAUAAACAGAGUAAUGUGUUGUUUUAAUUAAUUGUCCAUCUAAUGCACAUUAAAGUGAAACUAAGAUUAAACUUGACAGUUCAACUAGUAGAUUGACCAAUUAGAAUAUACUUUAAACUGAGUUAUUUCUUAUGCCAAAUACUUGCAAUACACAUACUAAUACACUUACACUAAUACAAUCUGAAAGUCAUUGGUGUUAUGCUCAUUAAAACAGAAAGUGAACUAAUCAUUUUUGUGAAUCUUGAUAAAUUUUAAAAGAGUUUGCUAUUAGCAUUUUUCAUCAUUUAUUUAAUGUUAUGUCAUUUAUCAAUGUCAAGCUUUAAACUUAUCAAGAUUAGUUGUUACCCAUAACUUUAGUCAGUCUUUGUAUACCUAACACCUACCUGACUUCAGUCAUUUUGAUUCUAAGUUCAUUAAUGGUUGUAUACAACAUACAAAAUACAAAAUGCUGAUUGAAACUAUGUUGAAAAAAUUCCUAUGCAUUAAUAAGCUUCACAAAAUGAUGCUCCUAUCAAGCAAAUCAAUUCUUCUUUUUGGAACCAGAUUCUUUUUAAACCGAUCCCCUUCACUGAAUGUGGGUUAUGGCCAAUAAAAUCUCCUUGUAUGCUUCAUUUCAUGGUUCCAAAGCCAACGAGUCACGAGACCUUCUAACUUUUGCUAAUUCAGAUUCCCUGAUCAGCUAUAACCCACUAGCUUGAGCAAUAUAUAAGCAUAGCACCAGCUGCAUAUUCUCACACAAACUUUCCCUUCAACUAAAAAAACUUCUUUGUUCUUUUCUCUUUACCAUUAAUCUUUCUCUUCCUUUCUAGCUAGCAAAGUAAAACAUUACCAUCCCUCUUAGGCUCUAGUGAGACAACAACCUAGAUUAUCAUCACUCAUGGCCUCAAGCUCUAUCAGCAAACAAAAGCCUUCUGACUCCUCUUGGACACCAAAACAGAACAAACUGUUUGAAAAAGCUCUUGCAAAAUAUGAUAAGGAUACCCCAGACCGGUGGCAGAAUGUGGCCACAGCAGUAGGUGACAAAUCUCCAGAUGAGGUUAAGAGACACUAUGAAAUCCUCUUGGAGGACCUCAGACACAUAGAGUCUGGCCAUGUUCCUCUCCCCAAAUACAGGUCCACUGGAAGCAGCACCAAUGUUGAUGAUGAAGAGAGGUAAUGCAUCUUCCUAACCAAAUCUCUCUUUCUUUCCAAUUUUUGUAAUAUACUAUAUGAUAUGCAUGCCAUUAACCAACUACCUUUUCACAUUAACCUUCUCAAUUUGUAAUCUUUCUCAUGCAUGCAUUGUUCCACUGUUUGUCCCUCUUUAAUAUAUGUGAUGUGAGACAAAGGGGUUGACUAGAACAACCAUCACACACAAAUGGUUGCAAAACCAUAUUUUAUAAGGUUAGUAUAAAAAGUAGCAGCAGCUGAUGACUUCUGCAGCAUUGCUCUGCAACUGGGUCACUGUUUAGCAAGAAAAAAAGCACAAAUCACAAACUAAAACCAUUGACAUUUCUUUUCUGUUUUCAUAAGCCAUUGAAUAGAAAAAUUACUUGUUAUACACCUUAAGUUUCAAAAUUCUACACUCAACUAUUUAGCCACCUAACUCAUGCAAUUAGGUGUAGCUGCUUUCACUCACACCAUUUUUAUGUCAAUAUAUUUUUUAAAACUUGUGGCAGAACCCAGGUAACAAAAUUCUUGUGGACCCAAUUUACUAUGCACAAAUUUUAACUGUCAAAAUUUAAGUAUUUAUGAAAAGUUAAAGCUAAAGAGUCCGUAGCAAUAAUCUUACUUUUCCUUGACUGGACAAUAUUAUGCCACAUUGCAAUAGUUUCCAAAUACUUGAACACUUGAACAGAACAAAAGCAGUGAUGAGUCCCACUCACUUGAAUAAACAACGUGGUCAUUUUGUGACAACAAAUUGAGUGUGUAAUAUCAUAAGUUUUCUUGCAUUCUGCAUUAAUUUUUGUCACAAUUUUGUUGUUCCUGUCAUUUAGAUAUUUUCUAAUCUGCACAUGUUUCAUUUCAUUUGAACUAUUUGAUUGUUCCAGACUUCUGAAGUAUCUUAAGCUGAAUUGAUGGGAAGAAAAAAUGUUUGUGCUAUCCUCAGCUAUUGGCAGCAUUUAUGUGGUGUUCCUUGAUUCUGCAGAAAUAUCUUCCUUGCUAUCUCUCUCUACCUUGUUUCUCUAUGUUCUCUUUCCUACCAUUGUAAUUUAGAUUGUUUCAAAUUUUCAAUGAAUUAUCCUGUUGCAGAAAACAAUGUCAGAUAUUCUCCUACACCCUUUAAAAAGAUUAAAAAAUGUUUUGCUGGAUUAUAAUCACAUUGAGAUUAUAUAAUUUGUGCAUGAUCAGAAGAAUAAAAUAAUUAAACAAAUUGCUUUAGAGGUUGUACAGUUUAUCAGAAAGAAGAUAAAAAGAGAAAAGUGAAAAGUAACUUGAUUUUGCAUCGUAGUACAAAAGUACCAAACUCAUUAAUAUUCCCUCGUAUAAAUCAAACUGAGUGCAGCUUUACCUCAUCCUCAUGUGAAACUUUUGGUUGUGUUCAAGAUUGUAGAGGACUUUAACAUGGAUUUGAGCUUUUUCUUCCUGCUUUUCAAAUCAAUUAUUCCAAAUUGCACGAGUUAAAAUUGCAUAUUUUAGAAGAUGAAUAAUAAUAUUUACAAAACAAUUUAUACACAUUAAAAUCUUUAAUUGUUUAUUUAGUUAGUUUAGAUUGUUUUAAAAUUCAGAUUAAACAAAAAAGUAAAGUUCAAAUAAUAUUUUGUCUUCAUUUUCACUUAUUUCUAAUUAAUUUUGACUAAUUCUUGUUCUUAUUGGUGAGAUGUUUCAAUUGUUUGGAGUUCAAAAUAUUACCUAAUCAAUUCUAAAGUGUACAGUCCAAUUCAAUUUUUAAAACAAUACUCAGAACUUGCAAAUUUUUUGACAAGAUUUCAAAUUUUUCUAGAAAUUGAAAUUUGGGCUUUUGGUAGAAAUUUUGCUUUUAGGAUUGAAAAAAAAAAUAGUAUUUAUAAAUAUAGGUAAUCCCUUUUUUUCCAAAAAAAAAAAUUGCAUAUCAAACUUUUCAAGACAGGACAAGAUUGACUAUUCUUUAAAGUUAGUGUCACAGGUUGAUUAGACAUUUAAUACAAAUAAAGAGAAACUAUUAAUUAUAAUGCGGGUAUACUUUUUUCAAUUUUAAUUAAUUUAUUUAUAUUUAAUAAUAUUAUUUUAAAAAUAUCUAUAAAUAAUUUUGAUGAUAUCGAUUUAAAAUAUUUUAUUUUUUAUUUAUAACUACUUAGUUUAGUUAUCGAAGUAAAAUAUGUAUUAGUUGAUGAAUUAUAUAAAAGUAUCUAUAAUGUUGCACUUAAGCUUUCUCAACAAAAGAAAGUAAUGCAUUUGAUUUAACUAUAAACAUAAAAUAUUUAACCAACAAAAAUUAUGUAUUUACUUUCACGGAAGAAAAAGUUGAGUACUGAAAAAUUCAAUUCAAGUGAUAAAAAAAUAUGGAAAAUAUAUUUUAGACCUAAAUGCCACAUUUUGAUAAAUGAUUUUGGAUGUAGAACAAAACUUUAAACAUGAUUUAAAUGUUGUAAACAAAAAUACUUUGUAUGAAAUUUAAGAGAAAAAUCCUAUUGGUUUAUUUUUAAAUUCUUGUAAUUUUUUUAUGGUUUAAUAGUUUACUUUAAAAGUUAAUUUUGAUACUAUUUUAGUAUUUUUUAAAAUUUCAAUUAAAACUUACUAUUUUUUAGACGUAAUAAUCUAAUUAUUUCUAUCAAAUUGACCAAAUACCUCUUUUAGAACAGGUGAAGAUAUGAGAAACAUGAUGUGUUCAAAUCUAUGCUGAUUCCAUUGUUUGUUUAAGAAUUCUUCAACAGAAAAAAAGCGUGUCCAUCAUGUUCAACAUGUUUCAGCUUGAUAUACUGUGCCAAUAUACUGUGACAUGCUAAACAUACAUGGCAAUAUUCAAGUUCAAUCUUCUAGAUAUGAAAGAACUGUGAAAAGUUUGUCUUGAGUUGUGAAAAGUCUGAGCCAUUUUCUGAUUUAUGUGUGACAUGAUCAAGUUAGCAAAAUUCAGCAUCAAGAUACAUUUAACUUCAACCCUUUUCAGAAAAUGCAUUUACAAAGUGAAGAAGUUGAAGAUACCUUGCCUUUAAAAGCUAUGUUGCAGACAUCAUAAUCAUAAUUCAUAUACACUGCAAUUACUUACACGCAAAACAGUUUCUCUCAAGUGACCAAAACUAAGACUAAUAUAAACUUCAAUUACCUGAAAGUAGCUUAUCAUUGCUUCAAAAACCUGUUUACAUUGUCCUUGAUUCCAUUCAUUCACUACAUCAUCAUGGUUCAAAUCCAAGAUGAAACAAGAAGACAAUGCCUAAGUGUUUGGGUUGUGGGGGUGUUAUAGCAAUUGACCUUGUAAAGAACUUGUUUCAGCUUCAAGGAACAGUUAAGCAGUAGUGGUCAGCAUAGAGAUCAUCUCUCUGAACUGCUACUUGGUGAACAAGAGGGUCAUGCUGAUACCAAAAUUGCUUGUUAAGGGUUGGUGGGGACAGCAAUUCUGCUUUCAAAAGGGUUUUGGAAAGUUUUGAGUGGGUAUGAACUUGUUCAUCAUGUGAGGACUCAAUGGUACACAUGACAACUCAUUGAAAGAUUUUCAAUAAGUGUAAGAUUCAGAUGGAAAACUCUGGUGUGUUUGUCAAGGGACCUCAUGGCUGUUUUUGGUGAAGUCAACUGCAUCACAACUUGGUGAAGCUUCUCUUCCUUUUUAAUUUAUUGGCCAAGAAGCUAUUUGAAUUUAAGAACAAAAUUUCAAGCAUGUAUUUUACCAUUUCUGCAUUCAUGUUGGUAGCAAGGCAAUGAUUGAUGAGAAUAAGUAUAGUUGGCAGCAUGUGGAAACCCGAGGGAAGAAAUAGAAAAGAAAGUAUUUUUUUAUCAAAUACCAAUGAAAGUUCUAACAGAGACUACUGCAAGAUCAAACACAUUUAUAAGUAAGACUUGUAUUAACCAAGCAUGCUAAACCACUGACAGACUAUUCUUGAACUUAAGCAUGCAGAGAACCAUUUAUCCUUAAUGUACUAGAUGUGUCCAGAACAAUAUUUUGUGUUCCUUAUUAGACCAUAAUACUCUUCGGCAAUAGUUUUGCACAGAAAAACUGUUAUGUGACAGAUUGGGUUUGGGAGAGGACCUAAAGUGUAACAUUAAGGUUUGGGAUGUGAAACCCUCACCAAACAAUUCAAGAUUGCAUUGACAACUACCCCACUUGGAAAAAUUUUAAUGUUUUUGUAAUGUUUAAUGUGGACUAUACAUAAAUAUCAUCGAUUGUACAUUAAAAAUCAUCUUUAAAAUAAGUUUUAAUUAUUUUAAAAUAUUAUUUAAUAAUUAAACAGCAUAUCCAAUCAUUCUUAUCUAUGAAACUCAGACACUUCUUUUAAAUGAUGUAUCCAUGUCGGAUACACGUAUCAGUGUCUACGAGACACUUAUCGGUAAAGUGUUCAAUUCAAAAAAUAUUUGUGGGUUCUAAACACAAUUUUAAAAGAUAUAAAUACAAUAAUUUUCUAAAAACUCAAAUUUAUUGUAUAAAUUUUUAUUAUGAUUAUAAAAAUAAGGAACAAAUUGUUUUAACAGUCAUGAAAAAUAUCUUAAGUCAUGAAAAAUAUCUUAAUGCUCUCAAAAGAAUCUGGAACAUACUUUUACACAUAAAUAUUUAUUACACAAAUAGACACAUUUUUAUUAAAAGUUUGUAUAAGAUUGUAGUCAUAAAAGUAUUUAUAUUAUACAUUAAAUUGACACAUUUUUAUUAAAAGUUUGUAUAUAAGAUUGUAGUCAUAAAAAUAUUUAUAUGAUAUCUGUUCCACAUUGAUCAAUAUAAGAAAAACAAUAUUCAGUUUAAAAAAAAAGUUAAAUACAAAUAUCUAUAAAAAAGUGUUAAAACAUGUUUCUAUACUAUCAUGUUGAAAAAGAUAUAAAUGUAAAUCAUUGCAAAAUAUUACAAAAAAAAAAUUAUAAUUUAUAAAUACGUAUUUUAAAAAAUAAAACAGAAGGAAACAUUACCAAAAACCAUAAAAAAUAUAGAAACAAAUAAAUACGUGAAGGUAGACAAAAUAUUUUUAAACUAUAGUCAAAUGUGUAGAAAUAAUGGAGAAGUGUUACUCAUCCAAAAUAUAAAUGAAAAUUAAAGAAAAAAAUUAAACUAACAAUAUAAAAAUAAAUCAACUCUCUAAAAAUCCUAUAAGAAAAAACAUAAAUUUCUAUUCUUCCUUACUUCAAAAUUUAAAAAAAAAUAUUUUUUUAUAGCUUAGUAAAAGAGAGACUAAAUUUUGGAUUUUAAUUACUCAUACCAAAUCUACUCACAUUAUGUUCCAGAUCUAAUAAUCACUUCCAAGUAUAUUUCUAUUCUUCAAUUGAAUAUAUAAAAAAUAAUAGAAAAUAUAUUUCAAUUUUGACUUCCACUAUCUUGUAUUGACUGCGUUACGCUAGUAUAUAAUAAAUAAAUAAAAUAAUGAUGUAAAGAAAGUGUGAUUUGAGUAUUGUAUUAUGAUAAAUUAAUUAAACCUGAUUAAAUAUAAUUUGCCACUGUGUUCUUGACAUUGCAGACUUAAAAAAGUUGGAAGAUCAAUGAGAAAUUAUUUGAAUAAUUGGUUUUUUUACUAAUUAGUUCUGAUGUUAUGUUAUGCAUAAUUUAUGAAAACCGGACAAAUAUAAAAAAUAAAAGUGAGUGUAAAGCUGGCUGUAUUUAAAAAAGAACUGAUACAGUUAAAUCUGGAAGCGCUAACGUUAAGAAUAUCAUAAAACAGUAGAAACACACACGAGUGGUAGAAAUCAACACUGUAAUUUCAUAUUAUCUUUCAUUCAAGAAACUGUAAACAACCGGAUAUAUAGGUCAAAACCACGAACAGCAGGACCACAGAACCACGGACAAACAUCACCCAAAAUAGAACACCUAAUUUUAAUCAACUUAAUCAUAAACCCUAUUCUACAACACCAAACCCUAGUUCCAGCUACCAUCUCCUCCAUCGCCUCCACGAGAGUGGCGGGACCCACCAUCACCAUAACCACGGUCCCUGCCUCCACCGUAACCACCACCACCACCACCAUAACCACCACUGCGGUUAUACCCUCCUCCUCCUCCUCCCUCACGACGACCACCGUAGCCGCCUCCACCACCACCACCGUAGCCGCCGCCGCCACGGCUGUAUCCACCACCACCUCCAUAACCGCCUCCUCCACGGCCACCGCCGCCUCCGCCUCCUCCGCGAGACUGAGCUUCGUUCACAGUGAUGUUACGACCGUCAAGGUUCUGACCGUUCAUUCCUUCGAUCGCUUCUCUCAUGGCCUGCUCUGAGGAAAAGGUCACGAAUCCGAAACCCCUGGAUCUUCCAGUCUCACGAUCAUUGAUAAUCUACAAAUUAAAAUACCAUUGAUACAUCAGAUCUAAGACGAAACGCAAUAAAACAUAACCGAAUAGAACCCGAUCGAUCUUCGCCUUUGAACAAAGGAUGAAGAUGAACGUACCUAUUGGCGUGAGUAAAAAAAGAAUCAUAUAGUAACAAGUAGAAGUAUCAUAGAUCUAGUAACGCAAAAAAAUCAGAGAUCACAGAUCAGAAUGGGAGCGAGAAAUUCCGAAUCCGAAUCGUGUCAGAUCAGAUGCGGUCACUGCAACAAACAGACCUUGGAUUCAAGGACUGGCCCGUAUUUAGAGAAAGCCUUCUCCAGAGCUUCGCCGUCGGUGGCCCAUGCGAGCCCACCGACGAAGCAUCGAAACUCAACAUCAGCUGCAGCCAUUGAAAAUAGUACGAACCCUAGAAAUUUGGGAUUGCUGUGAAAGAGAUAAGAUUUGCACGAUGAAAGGGUGAACUCCAAGGGAUUAUUUUAUAGCAGCUGGACUGUUAACCAGGGUUACAGUUUAUGUGUUGCGCCUAUACCAGGGUUAAAGCUAAAUCAAUCAUGGUUCAAAUUAGGUCAUCACAAAUUUUGGGCCCAACCUUUUAUUCAUUUCUUUAAUGGGCAUUGCUAGUCCAACCCCACCCUUUCCCAUUCCCCUAGAUUUUUUCGUACACCCAACUUUAAAAUAAAUAAAUAAUUUUUUGACUAAAAUGGUGCUUCGAAUGAGCCAUUUCUUAUUUAUUUUAGCCAAAAUCAUGCUUCUUAUAUUCUUUUGAGAAAAACGGGGUUGAAAUAAAUGCAUUGAAAUCGCCAACCCAAAGACAAAAUUAUUUUAUUCAAAAUAAUUACAAAAAUUUAAUAAUAUUUUAUUUAAUUUUUUUUAAUUACAAGUGUGAAAUAACUAUAGUAUUUUUAAAAUAAAACAAACUUAAGUGUGAAUAUAAAAUACAAGACUCUAAGUCAUAUAAUUUAAAGUAACUUUUAUUAUUAAAACUAAGUGUAAAUAUAAAUAUUAAUUUAAAAAAUACCUGUAAUCUGAAAUUAUACAUAUAGAGAGAGAGAAACUAAUCUUAAUUUCCUAAACUUUAUUUAACAGUUAUUUCUCAAAAGAUAUUUUAAUCUUUAAGAUUAUUGCCUAUAAAGAUAAUUUUUUAAAAUAUCUUAAGUAAUUAAUUUUUAUUAUUUGCCGGCCACAAAUAGGUCCACCGAUUACGGAUUAAUUAAAAUAUUACGAGAAUAAAUGGCUAAGUUGGUUCCAAAUAUGUAGUCUGUGCAACUAAAUAAGAAACUGUAAAAUGGAGUUUUUUCCAUAUCGAUGUAAUUUUGUUUGAAAUUUGCUAAUAUGGGGGAAUUUUCAAAAAACUGUUAGAAAUGAAUUUUUUGGUUUUUUGAAGUUAUGUAAAAAUGUGUUUUUUUUUUUCAUAAUAUGUAAUCAAUAUUUUUACUCUCAUGAUCAAACCUGUGUGAAUAUCCAAGCACAAAGUUAACUUCAAAAGAUAAAAAAUCAAAAUUAUUUGGUUUUUGUCAUUUUUUUUACAAGUCAAACGAAUUUUCAGUAAAAAAGGAUAUUAUAUUAAUUAAUGAUUAAUAUAGAUAUUAUAAUAUUAUAAUACAAUUUUGUUUCAUAAUAUAUUAUAGACAAAAAAUAUAUUUAAUCUCAUUUAAAAUAAUUAGUAAUUAAAAACUUAAUAAUUAAUAUUAAAUAUUAGUUUAAUAUUAUUAAUAAUCUUUUAAGUUAUAAAAUAGUAUUCUUUUAAAGUUAUAAAAUAGUAUUUGAUUUAAUUAAUAUAGUAAUUAAUUAUUUUUUUCCUAUAAUUAAUUGUUUUUAAUGAUUAUUUUGUAGAUGUUAUUUGUUUGAUUUGUUAUUCAAUGUUAACUAUUCAUAAAUUGUUUGGUUUAGUAUAUAAACGUACUGGAGUAUUUAAAUUAAUGUUAAGAUUUGAUUAAAAAAAAGUUCUAACUUAUCUUUAAGAUGAUAUGUUCUUUCACUAAUUAUGUUAAAUAUCUUUGACUCAAUAAACUUCAACCAAAUAAUUAAGAAAUUAUUUCAUACAUUUUUGUUUAACACGUUAUAUUUUGUUCACCAAAUUGUCUGAAUUUGCUAGACAAAUAAGAUUUCGUCAAACUAAUCUAAAACUCAGAAUAACUGGAAAUUUAAUAUUUAAUAAGUUGUAGUAUUUAUUAAUUGGUGUUUGUAUUGAUGUUUUGUAGGUGUAAUUGAUGCUUAUAUUAUGUUUUGUAUGGGUAUUUGUUUAGUUAUUUUUAAAAAAUUAGAGUAAAUAAAAAGACAUGGAAGUGUAAUAUUAAUUGAAGUAAAUUAAUAUGAAAAUUUAAUUUCAUUCACAUAAUUAUUUGAAUAUAAUAACGAACAAAUUAUCUAUGACAUAAUGUGUUACUUGGUGAUCUUCUUUGUUGUCUCGAUGGUUGUAUUUGUAAAGGAGGUGAGUUAUUGUUGUUAUUGUCUUCCCUUUGUUUGUUUUCAAGUGGAAUAUCAUAUUCUUUUGAAGGAAUUGUUGGGCGAUAGCAAUACAUGAAAUGAACUUUACGAAAUAUGAAUGAUGAUGUCAUUGUUGAAGUAUAAAACUAAUGUGAUGGAUCCGAAGAAAAAAAUAUUUCCUUGUGAUGGGAACUUGUUGUAAGUCGAUGACACUUGUUUGUAGGAAGAUUGGACAAACAUAUUUUGUUGGUACUUAAUAAGUGUUAGACAAUCUAAAUCCUUAUAUUUAACUAGAGUUGUAAAUUUCUAACAAAAAACGAUAAUGCUUAACAUAUUUUAACAUUGUGAAUAAAUUUGACAUGUUAAUUGUUAUCACUGUGAUAAUGAUUUUUUUUUAUAAAAAUAUGAAGGAUCCAUAUUUAUGAGGUAUUUUUAAUAAUUUUAUAUGCGAGAGAUUGAUAUAAUUGACUUUUAUACCGGAUAUCAAGAUCAAUCAAAAUAUAUAAUAGUAUCAUAUUAAUCAAAAUACAAAAAAGAAAUAAUGAUGAACCUAAUUCAUACUUUCCCAAUUGAAUCAACAAACUCUUUGACUUUUUUUUAAUAAUUACAAUCAAUGACACUUCCAACAAACUUUAUUUUAUUUUCUAUGUAAUAGAUUUUUUUUAUUUGAUUAUUCAACUGUGAAUUCGAUAUCCGUCAUAAAAAUUAUUACUUUUAGACAAUAUGUGCAUUUCCGUAAGUCACUCAUUAUAGAAAUAAUUUGUUUUCACCCAUUUGAAAAAAAUCCCCUUAUUAUUACACUAAUUUAGAAAAGAAAAAGACAUGUAUGUGUGGUAUGAUAAUUAUUAAAGAUAUUAGUUAUGUGUGAUAUAGAUAAUUAUUAAAGAUAUUAGUCUAUGGAUAAUGUUUGAUUGGAAUUAAGUUAAGAAAUUCAAUAAAAUUUCAAACUCUAAUAUCAAAUAUGUAUAAUGACAUAACUAAAAUUGUUAACGUAUAAUUAUAAUCACAUAUUUAUUUUCUUUUAUUGAAUUAAUUUGAGUAGUUACCGCAAUUUUUAAUUUGUGGAAAUAAUAAUUUUUUUUACAUUAUACUACAACAAAAUUAUUAAAUAGAAAAUAUUUAACAAAAAUCAAAAGAAUCAAUUUUUUUAUCAUUAAUUAAUUAGAUACAAUUUAGAAACUAUUUAACAAUAAUAUAAACUAUUUUAUAAAUAUUUUUUUUUAUUUAUAAAAUAUUUUUUAAUUUAGUUAAUAUAACAAUUAAUUAUUAUUUUUUAUAAAAUUAGUUUUUAUUUAAUGAUUUUCUUAUAGUGAUGUACCUAUUAUUUACUAUUUAUCGAAAUAAAAUGAUAUUAAAUAUAAUAUGUACACUACUAAAAUAUACUAAUAUAACAUAAAAUUUAUGCCCGUAAAUUAUAAGAAUAAAAAACAUAUUUUAAUGUUUUAAAAUAAUGUAUCUCUCUCAACAAUAAAAUAAAACAUCAAUUGAGAUUAGAGUAUAACAUUGUUGUAUUCAAGUAAAAAAUUUAAAAUUUAUCGAAAAGACGUUACACAAUAAAACUUAUAAAAAUGAAUUAAAACGUCAUAAAAGUAAAUUAAAAUGUCAUAAUAAUGAAAAUUACAAACUUGUAAUAUAAUUUGUUUAUAUAUGAUUAGUUAAUUUAAGUAUUAGUUUUAUUCCGGUUGAAGAUCAUGUCACAUCCAAUAUUCUUCUAAUAAUUCAAAAAGUUUUGUUUCUAUGUAAGUAUCAGUUUCAAUCAAAAUAAUAUUAAUUGUUAAUUUAUUAUCAUGAAAACAAUAUCAAUUAUUAUUCUGUCUAUUAUCAGAUUUUAUUUAUUAUUUAUGCAUAAAGUUAAAAACAAAUUCAACGAAUCAAUAAAUUAUUGAAAGAAUAUAUAUUUUUUAAAUUCUGGAGUGUCAUUGUAGGACCAUCAUCACAUGAUAAUGAUGCUGUUGCUGAGAUAAAUCAAAAUAUCAUUCGUCCCUAUCACAAAAUAUCUCGUGUUUGAAAAAUUACUUUUUUAUCCCUCUAAUUCCUUUAUGUCCUUUUUUAUUUUAUUUUAAAAAGGUAACUUUUAUAAAAUAUUUAUGAAAUAAAUCAAUUAUAGAAUAAGGAAAACAUAACUAAAUCCAACUUUGAAAUAAAUGUAAUUUCCAAAGCCAAAUCAAUUCAAUUAUAUCAUCAAUUCAUUUAUGGAAUGUGCUAUUUGUGGUGAUAAAGCCUAUAUUUUAUUUUUUAUUACUUUAAAACAAAGUUUUCUUAAUUUAAUUUAAUUGUGUUCGACAAAAUAAUAUCAAUUUACAUAAGUAAUAUAAAUUUCCGAAAAACAAUAUUUUACUUUAGAUAUUCGUCCUUUUAUAUUUGAAUUUUAGAUGUAGUUCAAUUUUGUUACGUUUGAUUUUGUAUUAUUUUUUUAAGUGAGAUUCACCUUAAUAAAUUUGUUAUUAUGCUUCGUUUUUUCAGAAGGAAAAACUGUAUUAUUAGUAUACUUGUUGUUAGCCCUGGACUUAAUUAUAGGCCCAUUUAAAAAUAAUACGAAUCAAAUGUUUUUUUUAUAAAUAAAGUGAAGUUAUUGUUUUUUUAGAUUAAAAGGCUACUUGUGGUUAAAAUAUAUUACGGUUUUGGUUGAUUUUCAUUAAUGGGUUACAUAUAUUAUUUUAUAUAGAAUAAAAUGUCUAUUCAGUGUAACACUUUUGAUAAAAUAUUUUUUGAGGGAACAAAAAAUAUAAAUAGAAACUUUAAUUAUAUAUAAUUAAACUCAAAAUUAGUAUAUUAAUAUAGAACAUAUAUAUAUAUAUAAACUUUAAGAUGAAAUCAUAUUUAUUAAAGAUAAAUAAAUAUUGACAAUAAAUAAGAACAUUCCUAUAUAUUUUUUUUUUUAAUUUUAGUUUCCUCAUCUUCUCUACCGGAGAUAGGAAACUUUCUUUCGAUAUGAAAGUUAAAUAAUAAAUGAUGAUAAAAAACAAUCCAAUAAAAAGUAUAGUCUGUUUUUUUAGAUUUAUCAAAACUAUAUUAUUAAUUUAGCGUGAUAAAAUAUAACAUUUUGAAUGAAAUUAUUUAUCUAUUUUUAGAUAAUGUGCAUUCAAAUAUUUACUUGUUGAUUAUUUUGUUCCACACAUAUAAUAUAAUAUAUAUGUAUGAAGAUUUAUUAAACUUGUAACUCACAAAGAGAUAUAGGGUUUGUAUCACAUAGUAAAGGAGGUUGGUUAUGCUCUAAAAUGUGGUGUGUUUGGUCUCCUUAUUAGUGAUAAGAUUUAUCAUCUAUUUGGUUUAAGUUAGGAGUGAAAAAAUGAUUCCACUCGACGUGUUUCAAUCUGAUUCAUUGUUGACACGUUAAAGUUUUACGGACUGAAAAUAGUAACGCGCCUUGUUACAUGACGGGUUGAUGGAUUGACUCGCAAAUUUUUAUUUUUUUAUGUAUAUAUUUUUUAGAUUUAUUUAAUUGGUUAUAAUAAUGAAUAUCACUUUCUGAACAAUAAAAAUAUGAUAAAGAACAAUAAAAUUAAAUCAAAUUUCAAUAUUAUAAUGAAAUAAAUUUUAAUACCUAACAAAAACAAAGUAAAUAUCAACAACACUUUAAUGAAUCAAAUGAUGUAUAAAGAAAUUAAUGUAAAUGAAAUUUUAUAUAACGCCAUUACCAAAUAUUUAUUCUAAAAGAAUGAGUUACCUCUUUAAAAAUUAAAAAAAAAACGUUGGAUUGACGAGUUAGACAUGUUAAUACAAAUUGAUAGGUUAAAAAAAAAAAAAACUCACUCCAAUUAAAUAAUGACAAGUUGACAAGCCAAUUUGCCGACCGCAUCCAUACUUCAAAUAACAACUAGCUCAUUCAACCAAUGGUUAAGUAUAUAUAUUAAUUUAACAAUAUUAUUUUAUAUUUUAAGAUUUAAAAUGAUAGUUAAAAGGUAUAUAAAUAUAUAUUUUUAUAUCACAUAUAAUAUAAAUCUCAAUAACACUUUUUUUUUAAAGGAUCAACAGUUUGAUGUCUAUUUUUGUUAUUAAAAAACAUUUUCCUAUUUCCUAUGAAAAAAAGAGACUAUUCAUGCUUCAUCUCAUGGAUGGCUAUUAUUUCAUAAUUUUAGUCAAAUUUUAUUUGCAGUACUCUAUGUUAAAGGAAUAGUUAUUUGUAAAAAUAUAUAAUUGGUGUUUAGAAAGUAAAUUAAUAAAAAAAAAGUGUAAAAAAGUUAAUAUUAGUAUUAGUAUUUGGUAUAGAAAUGUAGUGGAUAAGACCUUAUAUUAAUUUAGGAUUGAUGUACUUAUCAAUAAGGUCCUAUGGUCUAGUGGUUAGGACAUUGGACUCUGAAUCCAGUAACCCGAGUUCAAAUCUCGGUAGGACCUUUUCAAUUUUUUUUAAAAGUUUUUGUUACAUAUUAUUUGUCUACCCCAAAAGCAAUACCUCUUUGUAUAUCCAGAGAAAAGCUCAGUGCCUGUUCUUCUAACAGUGACAACUGUUAACUCUUAUCCUUUGUGGAUUGCAAUUCCAUCUUCACAUUGAAUAGAUGUUUAGUUCCUCUGUUCCACUGCACAAACCAAUAACAACAUGCACCAUUUUCAAUUGCCAAAACCCAAACCAGCAUCACUCCAUUCUCCGCAAGCACAAUUCCAAAUCCACCGCGUAUCUCCUUCAGCAUCUCGCCCUCAAGGAUGGAGUACCCGUUCCCACUUCCAUUCCCAAACCCAGCGAGCUUCUAGACCCAAUGCCCCACGAUGAGAAAGUGAAGGUUUUGGAGCUUUCCCUCGUCAGGAAAAGGACCCCUCAGUUUCCGGGUUCCAUCUACGCUCAGUCUCCCAGCGACUCCGAUGUGGGUUCUUCUCUGCCCCCUAUCCGUACCCUCUUCCAAUCAGGUACUAACCCUGAUGAGAAGGAAGAGGAGGAGAAGGAGAUGAUAAUGCGCGCUCUCGAGAUUCGCAGAAAGGUCACUGAAGAGGUUUUCAAAGAAGCCAUGCGAAAGGGAAAGUUUGGAAUUACCUACUCUACCAAUUUGAUUGGCAGGUUAUCCGGCUUUCUGGAUCACAUCAUGAUUGAAGCUGCUAACUUGAAAAGAUUGCCCGAAUUUUCAAACUCCACCUUCAAUUUACGCGCCAAAACUGUCAUUGAUGACUCUAAAGUUGUGCCACUUAUUAGGUAAGAACUGAGGUUGACAAGUUGUUGGUAAGCUGUUUGUUCUGUUGUCUGAGUGAAACUGAAUGGGGUGAUGAAGGUUCUAAAGCGGUUUGCUGAUAAAUGCGGCCAAUGUGGCUGCAGUAACAGUGGUGAUAUGAUUGUAGUUACUCCAAAAAAUCUUGAUGCUAGAUUGCUGACUAGGAAUUUUUUUUUUUUAAAACCUUGGGGAUGAUCAUCCUUAUUAGUUAUUUCUAAGAAGUGUUUUCAGUGUGAAAUUUCAAUUUCAAAUGCUUGUGUUUGAUUGUCCAGAUGGUUGAAGCAUAAUGCACUGUCGUAUCCUCGGAUAGCGAAGAUCAUUUUGAUGUCAAGAGGAAAACCUGAGGCCAUAAGAAGUUUUGUCAUGUGGUUGAAAUCGGUACGUGUGAAAGGUGAGUUUCUCGGUGUUGUAAUGUUGAAGGCUGGAGAGAAUAUUUUGCAGCGCAGACAUGAGGAGCUGGAUGAGAUUGUUCAGUAUUUGGAGGCAAAUGGAGUAAGGAGGGAUUGGAUGGGUUAUGUCAUUAGUCGUUGUCCUCAGUUAUUGUCUUACAGCUUAGAAGAAGUGAAGACUCGUGCACAUUUCUUCAUAGAUAUGGGUUUAAAUGAGAAAGAUUUUGGUACAAUGGUUUUCGAUUUUCCUAGAGUUCUUGGUUACUAUUCUCUGGAAGAAAUGAAUGAAAAGGUACAUUAUAUUUUGACACACUGUAAAGUAAGAAAGCUGUCUUGCAGUAUAUCCUUACUGUCUUCUCUAAUGCUUUGUUAGUUUAUUUGGUUUUAGUAUUAUCCAAAUCAAACACAAAGGAAGUUCAAAGGCUUAAGUAUAAAGUUUACUUUGAUGUGAAAGUUGAUGAUUGUUUGAUAUAUAGAUAUACAUGUAGUGAGAAGCUGCAAAUGUAAUUUUCAGGUUAAUUACUUAAAAGAAUUUGGGCUUCAAAUUGAGGAUGUUGGCAAAUUGCUUGCAUUUAGGCCACAAUUGAUGGCGUGCAGCAUUGAAGAACACUGGAAGCCUCUUGUAAAGUAUCUGUAUUAUUAUGGGAUCACUCGAAAUGGCAUGAAGAGAAUGCUUGUCAUUAAACCAAUGGUCUUUUGUGCUGACUUGGAGAAGACUAUUGUGCCAAAGGUAUACAAACACUUUUUUAUUUGUUUAUGUUAUCAGUUGAGUGAUGUUUGAGAUUAAGGUGGCAGGUGGUACAAUUCAGUAGUGGUACUUUGUACAGAGAAUCUGUUUUAUUAUCAUUAUUUUCACUCCUUCAGCUUAUGAGGUCUUGAUGUUAUCGUAUUCUUACACACUAGAAGUGCAGUAGAUUCAGAAAUAAAGUUUCCAAUGACUUUUAUAUUUGUACUUGAGAAUAAUGAGAUAAUUGUUAUUUUAUUGUGAAGGUACAAUUUUUUGAAGAUAUAGGGGUUCGCAAGGAUGGGAUUGGCAGCAUGCUUGUGAAGUUUCCACCUCUACUCACUUACAGCCUGGAGAAGAAAAUUAAACCAGUGGUUUGUUCUUUUCUUCUACAGCUAUGGUAGUUCCACCUUAAAGUAAUUUUUUCAAUGCCUUGCUACUGCCCUGAUGAUUUUUUUGUUAAGAACGGAAAAAGAAAAGAGUCUUCAUACUAUGUUCAGGAACACCUGAUAAAAUGGGUGGACCAUUGACCAAAUUGAAUAAUAUCGUGCAGUGACGAAGUUGUAUGGAAAAUGCUAGUAACACAAUCUGACACUCUUUGAAUACACCUUCUAUCAUUGGUUGAAAUAGAAAAAAUGUGAAUCUCAAGUCUUCAUGAUUUUGUUGUAGUUUCUAAUAAAUUUCAACUUGUAAGAGUGCGUAUUAGAGAGUGUGUUGUGUAGCUAACAUUCCUCAAAUUAUAUUUAUUUAUUUGUAACCAAACUCCACCUACAUAGAUUUCAAACCACAUCCAGAAAGGAUGACCUAUGAACGGAAAUCUAUGCAUGAAGUGCUAAAAAGAUUCCCUUCAUGUAAAAGAAAUUGCUGCAUGGACAUAAUAAGUUAAUCACAAUAAUUAAUUGUCUGGCUCAUCUAGAAGCAUCAAUUGAAUCUGUUGCUGAAAUUUGAACAUUGUAUAGGUCAUAUUCUUGAUGACCAAAGCUGGAGUCACUGAGAAAGAUAUUGGCAAGGUUGUGGCUCUUGGACCUGAGCUCUUGGGAUGCAAUAUAGUACAUAAGCUUUAUGUAAAUGUAAAAUAUUUUUUAUCUCUUGGCAUACGUCUUCGGCAAUUGGGUGAGAUGAUUACUGAUUUCCCAUUGCUGCUCAGAUACAAUCCAGAUGUCCUUCGUCCAAAGUAUAUUUAUUUGCGAAAGUCCAUGGUCCGGCCUUUGAAAGAUGUCAUUGAGUUUCCAAGGUAUCGCAUAAUUAUAUUUAACCUCAAGUAGAUUAUGUGAAAAUAUUCUGUUUGAUUCUUGUUUUUACCCAUUGGUUGCUUGUCAUCAAUUAUCUAUGCCCCUCGCCAUUGUCAGGUUUUUCAGCUAUUCUCUUGAGGGUCGAAUUAUCCCAAGGCACAAGGUUCUAGUGGAGAACCAUAUUAAUAUUAAGCUGAGAUACAUGUUGGCUAACAGUGACGAAGAAUUCCACAAAAUGGUCAAGGAUUUAAUUGGAAAGCGCAAAAGAUUUGAAUCUGCUGUCACAAAUGAGGGCACUACCCAUCUCCAAUCUGUUGUUACUGAAGAUAUUUCAACACCCCUAGCAUAAAUUUUUUUGAUGGCUCUACAGAAAGAAGAACGGUGGUUGAAUGUUAGAAAUUAAAGCUGUAUAGUAGCUUUGGUCUCGUAACGUCAAUGGUCAGAGAAGUGAUUGUCAUAUAAUAACGGUUGGUUUAGAGUGAGUGAGAAGGAGCUCCUACGUCUUAAACAAAAAGAAGCCUGCAACUUGGCAAGCGCUGUCUCGCAUGUAAAUAUAGAAUUUCUGCAGAGUGAGGCAAUGACAUUACCUCUGUGGAGUCCGUAACUGAGAAGAUCUAACAUGUGUACUCUUCGCAAUUAUUCUUUAGGAUGGUCUUUUAUGCUCACUGUAAAUUUACAUCUUCCACUUAUCAUGACCAUUUUUGUUACAUGUCUGCUUUGUUCUUCAAUGGAUCUUACUUUCGCCUGUGUUUUCACCUUAAUCUGAAGGUCAACACUCUUUGAUAUAUGAAAUCCAUUUAAAAUUACUUCAGCCUAUCUUUCCAGCAAUUUGUAGCAUGGCCUUCAAAGACAGAAUUGUCAUCACGGGUUUCAUAUGAAAAACCUAUAUCCGUAGUAUUAAAUUAUUUGAAAAUGAUCAAGGUCCAAAAGCCGCAUAAAAUUUCAUUGACCACAUCAGAUAUAUAUGCUAACCUUGAGAUAGCUUUAUGCUAUAAUUCUUCUCUGAAUUUACAUUAUUUUUAAGAAUAAUAAAAGUUAUCUGCAAAAGAUAACUAAAAAAAUAUUACAUUAUUUGAGGUUCUUACUUUUUUAUAACGAGUUCAAAAGAAACUAAAUAUAUUUAUUAAAAAUUUACCCGUAAAAAAGAUUGAAAAUCUAAAACCAGAGAUGAUUUAUUUACUAUUUUUCCUUAAUAUCAUUUUUUUUUGGAACGAUGUGUUCAAUUAGUAAAAAACCGAAACAGAUCACUUACAAUGUGAUAACUUAAUAAAAUCUCAAUUACAAGAAAUUGAAAUUUGGUAACUUUUCCAUCAAUUAUUUUUCACAACACAAGAAAAAAUAAACACAAAAGGCCUAACUUUUUUCCCUUAUCAAAAUUCUUCAUCUAAAUUUGAACUAAUAAUCUACAAGUAGUGUUUAAUUUUAGAGACAAAAUAAAUUGAAAUUUGUAACAGAUAAGAAAUACAAGAGACAAACAUGACUCAUUUUAGUCAAUACCAAGACGACAUAUAGGAUUUUUCUUUAUGAGCCCAAGAUCCACCUGUGAAAACAAGAAAAAUAUCACUACUACGUUUAACAAAUAUUUAAUUUAAAAUACAUACACAAAAGACCCAUCAAUAUAAUAGAUUGUAUUUAUCCCUUAAAAAUACCUUGUGUCCGAAGAGAUCUCUGAUGUUAUCUAUACCGUAAAGAAUCAUUGUUGGCCUGUUUCCAGAUAAAACAAGUUAAAUAAACAUGUACAUUUUAUAAGCUCUGUUAUUUGUAGUUUUGUACGACAAUUUUAAAUUUAAGAAAUUAAUUGAUUUUGUUCUCAGUAUGGCUUUUCCCACCUUUCAAGGGAAAGCCCCCACGCAAUAACUUGAACAUCUUCAGGAAGUCCCAUCGGCUGCAACAUUUCAGGCCUGAACAUGCCCGAGUUUCCUACCUCUACCCAUUUUUUAAAACCUUCAUGAUAACUGUUAAAAGUACUUGGUCAAUAAGUUAUCUCAGGAUAUCCGAAAUCAAAUUAGGACAUGCCAAGUAAAGACUCACCUAAAGAUCUCCAUGCUAGGUUCAGUGUAUGGAUUGUAAGCUGGUUUGAACUUCAGCUUGGUCAUGCCUAAACUCAAUAACAGAUUAAUCAUACUUACAACUAAUGCCUUCACACACUAACAUUGGCAGUGGAUCAUAUUCCUUCAACUCUCCAACUUACAUUCAACAUUUAAAUCUUGUUCAGUACAGGAGAACAUUACCUAAGCGUGAGAAAAAAUCAUGCAGGACUCCUAUCAAGUCAGACAGAGUGAGACCCCGAUCACAUACAAGGCCUGAAAUUAAAAAGAAAAUGUGAAAGGCACAAAAAGUUCGGUGGGUCAAACCACAACAGAAGCUGAAUAUGAUUUGAAAUAGGACCAUCAAAGAUGAUCUUUAUUCAUUUGCGAGAUGAACAAUUUGCAAAGAGUUAACAUCACAGGGCCAGUAACUGAUUAGCUCCCACAUACCUUCUAUUUGGUGGAACUCCGCAAGAUGUGUCCGAUCAACUGCUUCAUUUCUGAAUACACGAUCUAUAGAGAAAUAUUUUUUCGGGGCAAAUGGUUUCUGCAUAGACAUCAGAAUGAAGAGCAAAAUAAAGAAACAUGUAAGAUAUAAUUCAGAGCUAGAAACUUGGAGGAUAAUCACGUAUAAGUGUCAUAACUUAGUCCAGCUGAAACAAAUAUCUUGACAUUAAGAAAUUUCAUCGAAAUCAUCAGGAAUAAUAAGAAUAUUAGGAGGCCUGAACGGCACUAAACACCAUGUAAUCAUAUGUACCCACAAGCACAUGACACUGGCAAAUUCAGACAGAUACCUUUGCAAGUUGGUAAAGCAUCCUGGAGGAAACAGCAGUUGUAUGGGUUCGCAGGAGGUUUUUAUUUGCUUCCUCUCUCUUCCAGUCAUAUGCAUAUCUACCAAGAUAGAAAUUGCAAGGUUUUACAUAAAGCAUAUCCCUCUAUCGAUAGUAAAUAGCCAAUGCUAAAAGUGUUGAGUUCGGUCAAGGUCAUACCCUCUAGACUCAUAACCACCAGAUUCAUGAACUUGCUUCACUCUUGCAACAUAAUCUUCUGGCAAUUCCUUUGUUGUUGAAGGAGCUGCAGAGAUAUGUGUUUCAUGUUCUCAGAAUAGAAACAGAUGAUACAAGAUUAGCAUGAUGAAAACAACUAAGGUUUUUACUAACUUUCCAAAAAGAAUGUAUCAUGUGAAUCACGAGCUGGGUGUUGUUGGGGCUGGAACAGGGCAUCAAAGUUCCAGAAGCUGCAGAUUUUCAUUCAGAUGUAAAAUUUAUGGUGAGAGCAAAUUUAUAACAUUAUAACCUGUUGGAUUUAAUGCUUUUAAAGAUAAACUCUAUUAUCUACAUUACACAUAGAAUCAAGGGCGCCCAUUAACAAUCUGAAACUAGAUUUAGAAAUUUUUAUUUUUUUAAAUGCUACUUCUUUCAUGAUGUUGUAGUUGUUCACAAUAUAGAACACGAGUUUCUUGUCCAGCUCUCAAGCCACUACAAAAAGAACCUUUCAAAUCAUUUCUCUAUAAUAAGUUAAUAACAAAAGAAAAAUAGCUCCAGUAAUUAAUUUGAUGUCAUUCAAAGGUCCAAUGAAACAGGUUACAGAAGAUGAUAAUCAUCUUUGAAUACUCACAAAAAAUAAAUAAUCAAAGAUACAGUUUUCUCUCAUUUCUGAAAGGGGAAAAUUUUGGUUUCUGAAAUUUCAGUUAUACUGAAGACUUUGUAAAGGCACCCGCUUGCUUGAAAGCCUCAGUUAAGACCACAGAGCUUUUGUUUUAGUGAAAAAGAGGGUACAUAGAGAACUUGAUGAAAAAGAUACAAGGAACUUGAUAUAAUUUUUUUCAAACAACAAUUACCUGCUCUCAACAAAAUUAUUUGUUGGCAUCUCCUCAAACCUGCAGUACGAGAAAUUAAGAUUAAAAGAUGUUAAUCUUGUAAUUUGAAACGAAUAUUUACCACACAAAAACUUUAAACUUCCAAAUAACAAAGAUAGAACUCACCCCAUGCAGAGGAAAAUCUGUUUCAGCUGAGAUCGUACCUGAAAACAGAGAGAUUUUAGAAGUAUUGAACACAUUAAGUAUUGUCAAAAGUUUAUUUUUUGGGCAAUUAUUAAUAAAAAAAGUCAUUGUGCUCUAUAAAUAGCUGAAAUGACAUAAUUAAAUUGUCUGUCUACAUCAUACGGAUUUGACAACAGCCAAGCUCAACCAUCCUCAAUUUUGUGUGGCUAGGGACAGGCAAAUAACACAACAUAGGUAGAGAUUGCUUCCAUUAUAACAUAAAGUAGUAAAAUCUUUCAAUAUCAAUUUAAAAAUUUAAAUAUAUAAAAACACAUUAUAUUCUUGUUUGUUUUCCAGAGUAUAAAUAUUUUUUUAUUGUGAGCAAAGUUUCUAUAAUAUACAAUUUUAAUAUUAGUUUAAUCUAAAUAUCAAAUAAAGUUGGAAAAAAAUAAGAAACAAGGGAAUGUCUCCUUGCCUUCAGCAAUGGAUGAAGAUUGCCACCCUCAAGAGGCUGACCUUUAGCAGUAUAAUUGUACUCCUUGAACUCUAGAUCCUUCCACUCACCACUGACAUAAAAAAUAAAGUAAGUUCAUAUGAUAUGCAAAUCCACAAAUAAUGUCUUGCACAAAGUAGACAUUUGAAUUCGGAGAUUAUAACCCCAUUCAAUUUCAGUUUAAGCAAAAAAUACCUCUGAAAAUUUUCACGAGUGAGGUCAGUGACAACCUGCUUUCUUUUGGGCGCAUAAUUUGGACCUUUUUUCAAGGAGUAACCCUUCCACGUCCUAGAUCACAAGACACCAAGAAGAACUUUAAAACGAAAGAAUAUUCAAGUCAUUUACAGCACAUUCAACAUAUCUAAAAAGCUCUUCAACACAAUCAAGAGAAAUUAUUAUUACUGUGGGACAAUGAGUUUUCUUGCUUUGAGUGCUUUGAUCUCAUCUGAACCAAUGUUCUGCAUUUGCAACAUAUGGUAAAAAUUCUAAUCAGACAUGACAAUUUCACAGGGAAAACUGCUGAAGAAAACUAUAAGAUACUCUAAAAAACACUGAAAGGAGGAGGCAUUAAAUUCAAAACAAAUCCCCCCUUCCCACUUCCGGUAACUGUCUCAUAUGUUGAGUUGAGUAUGAUGCUCUGUAAUACCUUGCCAUUUACCCAAAUGUAUUAUUCCAAGUCCAAUGCAUAUAGCCAAAAAGAACUCCAUUUAAAAAACGGUUGAUACCAAGAAAUGACAUUACCUCGUCGUCUACCCCAUUAAUGAUUUAACAUGGCUCGUAUAUCUCCACAUUUCACCUCCUCAAUUUUCAUGAAAGUUCCUACCAUUCCUUAAUGAAUAGAACUUAGUGACAACCCCCUCCCCACCAUGAAAAAAAAUCUAAGUUCUUCAAAUUUAUUUCUAUUAAUGUAAUUAAAAAGUUUACUGACAAAAUUAUUCAUAUUACUACACAUACCCGCCCUUGUUGUAUUUGAAUAAGAAGAUCUUUGACCUUGUCAUCCACAUGUUGAACCUGCGGCAAGAAACAGACUUUUCUAAAACACUCGGUAAAUAAUGAAGUCAUCCCACAGAGUGCACAAAACGUGGUAUAUUUCUAAUACACGCAAAUGCACCUAAAACGAAGUACUGAAAAUCUAAAACCAGAAUCGCAGAAAAGAAAUAAUGAAAAUAAGCACGGACACACACUUUGCAAUCUAGAGCAAAUGUAGUUACACACAACAAAAGUGGAUUUGAGAGAGAAGAAAAGGGGUCGUAAACCGAAUUUCGUAAUGAGUUCACUAAAUUACAUCAGUCAACUGAACUCAGAUAAAGCGAGACUCAUUCCAUCUAUCCAAUAACCUAGUCGAAGUGAAGUACGCAAAUCCCAAUUUUCCUUACAAAAACAUUAACGUCAUAAAGAAAGAAACCCAACGUUACCUUUCUAGAAAUCAAUUGUUUUCCCAUAUCCACCCAUUUGUUCUUUGCAGCCUGGGCACAAGCUAUCUUGAAGAGUGAAGGAUCCAGCUUUUUCUACAACCACCAACAAUUUUUUUUUAUUACACAAAACGAAUAAAUUCACAGAAAGGAGAGUAAACAGA